UAAGGACCUCCACCGCAGAAGCAGCUUGUUUACGCCUUGUUUCUCAUGUACUACCUCUCUAGCUACCCUCAGCCCCUAGUUUUGUCGAACCCGCUGUCGAUUUCUUGUGUUGUUAGAGGUCAUAUAUCACUGUAAUUCAUUGCUCGCUGUGCUACUGCGCGGCGUCUGAUGCCCCCAGUUUUUUUUACCCAAGAAAUGUUCCCCAGUUCAGUUGUUCUACAGUAACUCAACAUCUAUCUGGUUUGUAGUAAUUGGUACAGAUAUUGGAAGAGAUGUGAAACAUAAUAGUAUCUGUUGAAACUGCUCUACUGGGUUUGUUUGCGAGAUUCCUUUCCUCUGUUGAGCCUCAGCUCAUAGCACAAGGCCACACACCCUUCUCACAUGCCAGAUGAUCUACACACACAAAUAGGUAUCAAACACAACAUUGAAAAUUCUGUUAUAUGUGCUGAAUUUGUUAUCUUUCUUGUCCAAGACCCUAGAUCAUGUUGCGGCAUCAUGAUCGCUCGCGGUCAUGGUAACAAGAGGGACUGACGUCGCCCUCACUGCACGCGACCUAAUGCUGCUCAGGAAUUGUAAUUCGAACUGUACUAUUUACUUGAGUCCUGAUUGGAAUGAAAGUUUGGCGCCUUGAGCGCCUUCCCCCUUUUCUUAAAAAAAAAUGCUGCCCCUCUCGACGUCGCCCCAUCGCACGUGCCCUAACGCCGCUCCUCCCCUUGUGCCUGAAAGAGAAAAUACCCAACUGAUUGUGCACUUGAAACAGCUAGAAAGGUAACCGGGUCCUGUCAUCGUCCAACAUGCCAUUAGGGUGCGCAAAUACCCNNNNNNNNNNNNNNNNNNNNNNNNNNNNNNNNNNNNNNNNNNNNNNNNNNNNNNNNNNNNNNNNNNNNNNNNNNNNNNNNNNNNNNNNNNNNNNNNNNNNNNNNNNNNNNNNNNNNNNNNNNNNNNNNNNNNNNNNNNNNNNNNNNNNNNNNNNNNNNNNNNNNNNNNNNNNNNNNNNNNNNNNNNNNNNNNNNNNNNNNNNNNNNNNNNNNNNNNNNNNNNNNNNNNNNNNNNNNNNNNNNNNNNNNNNNNNNNNNNNNNNNNNNNNNNNNNNNNNNNNNNNNNNNNNNNNNNNNNNNNNNNNNNNNNNNNNNNNNNNNNNNNNNNNNNNNNNNNNNNNNNNNNNNNNGUUUCGGAAAGGGCCCAUCGCCUUCCUUGGUUCCUUGGAGAAGACUACUUCGUGCGAGAUGAGAACGGAAACGCGGAUUGACUUGUCGGGGAAACCAGUUCUUAGCAUUGAUUUGUGAGUGAGGGAUAAGAUGGUAAGAAUCAUGGUGUGUCAAGCAACGUUUAUUCCCUCACUAGCAUGGCACCACCACUGCUUUGGCAAAGGGAAAAGGAUGGGCCAGCAAGCAGUUGGGAGAAAGUGGAAAGGAAACAAGGAGAGCACGGCAAGUACUAUUCUCUCCCUCUUUCCUUUAUCUUGGUCACAUGUGUCAUAUUGAUCUGGUGGUGGUGAUGUUUUUGGAGAAUGUUUAAUUUUUGUUAUUUCUCGUGUUGCUUGUACUGCCACGACAAACGAUGAAUAGAUUAGAAGUGUUUCCCGCAUUUUUUUUCCCUCUUGUAAAUAGGUUUGCCAUGGGAAGUUGUUUUGUGGAAUGUAAUUUUUCCUGGGUUUCGUAAUAUAUUAUUAUGACCGGAAUUAGCGGUCAGAGUUGUAUGUUGAAGAACAUUUUAGUCUGCCUGAAGGAGUCAUUUAACAUGUGUUAUGUUGAUGGGGAAAAUUAUCUCACCUAAGGUGCUGAAUGCUAACAGUGGAGUCGUCAACAUUUGGAGAAAUUUUGAGAAAACAUUGCAAAUAUGUCAGGGAGGCGACCACAUAUGAUGCGUUAAAUUCAAAGAUCAAAUUCAGUCAUCGCUUUGGUCGUAUGAGAACAUUGGAAUUUGGUGGCACGAAAACAUUUGAAAUUGCUUUCUCUUAGAUUCCAAAAGCAGCAGAGUUCGAAGUUGAAACUUGGCAGGUUCAUAUAGCAUCACCUAACCUAAGUAUGACAUUUUUCCGACAUUUUGACCGAAAAUGCUAGUCUGAAACAAGAAAGUUGAAGAUUGACAAUCCAACCGGACACAGAUGUCUCUGAAGAAUAUUCAACAGGAAAGGCCAAUCAACAUGUCAACACCAACCAUAGGUAAAUCAACACAUGCGUAUGCAUACAUGUCACCAGCGAGCAAAGCAAGAAAGAAAUUCUUGUUAGCAACUAACCAACAAAAAGCACUAUAUUUUUAUAGCCCCUCCAAAAUAUGAGCCUUAUUCAUUGCAGUACAUCAUCAUAAUGAUGAUGGCCAUGUCUCAGCAUCCAAUACAAUUCAGUCUCAUUAUCAUCAUGGUUCUAUAUCCUAAUCAGCUCUAAGCUUCACAGACUGCAGCUACAGCAGUAUGUACACAAAAGCCUGCUUACAGACGCUUUCUAGCAUGAGCAAACGCCGUCCUCGUCCUCAUCUGCAAGCGCGAGCGUCUCAGGACCGAAAACAAUUAUGCCGGAUAGCGUCGCUCGGUUGUGCAUCGGAACAAAUGCGCGUCAUGGAUCGUCGAUGUUUGGUUCCUAUCUUCUUCCUGGUCCUGCAAACCUUCUCGCCGUUCCGAAUACGAGGGCUUUGGUCAGUAGCCCCUUGUCAAAGGUGCAAGCCAGGGCGACCACGCUGCCUAUCACGAAGACUUUGGGUAGGUUGCCCGUCCAGUGCUUUGGCUUCUCGGCUUGGGCGUUGUUGCUGGUCGAACCGGCCUCGGUGUUGUUUUCUGAAGCGGUGAGCUCGUCGGCGACAAACUUUGUGUUGGCGUGUGCCAUCGCAGCGCAUUUCGAGAUGGGCUCCCCGGCGGCCCUCGCGGUCUGGUAUGCCCGCAGGCCAGGCUCUAUCCGUUUGACGCAGCCCCACAUACCCUGCUGCACGCCGAGCUUCGCGAUGCUCCAUGGGAUACCCAUGUCUUCGUGAUGAAACAGGAGCACCUCGCAUGCCGUCAUCGCACCAUCACCAUUUCUUGAUUCAACUGAUAAAAAUGGAACAGGUGUAAAUUCAUUGGCCUAGCAAAAUCAGCUAGUGAUGAGGAACCUGCGAUGGAAGGAACUGGAAUAAUACCUGGACGGAUGCACCAGCUAGAGUAGUACAGGUCCACGCGGCGAGGUUUGCUGCUCCUUGGAACAGAGGGACGAGGUACACUCUGAGAAAAAUGCAGGAAGACAUUUAAUGAUCUGUUUGGCUAAAUAAAGCAAUACUUGCUCUGAAAAAAAUGCAGUAAGACAUUUAGUGAUCUGUUUUGCCUAAAUGUAUGGCAUCUAAACUAGAGAUAGCCUAUAUGUAUGUAUGUGAGAAACUACAGAUAUAGAAAGAAGAGUAUGCUUGGCACAGAUAGAUAUAGAAUGCAGUGCAUCUUAUAAUCAAACACAGAGAAAGCGGCAAUAAAUCUUUUUUCCAAAUUUGCAAAUGAGAAGAUGGAACAAACAGCAACAGUGCCCAACUCAAAUCCAUUACGCAAAGGAACUCUAAACAUGGCUGUAAAAGCAAUCGCAUGAACGUGUAUCCCAAUAACAGCUUUCUAACAGAUAUAAAGCUAUACCACUUCAUCACACACCUUGGUAACGCAGUAGUAGGUCUUUCCAGAUGCCCAUAUCCUGCGACCGAUAACAUACUCCCUGUCGCUGCAGAAGAAUGGAAACUGCAAAGGCAAGGCAAGCAGUGUAAGCAAAAGAUACAUGGUUUGCCAUGAAUUCCGCAAGGGCUGCCAGGGAGGGAUAUCACGCAGAUAAGCUCACCUUCCUGACCCAGCGGACAACCAUCGUUCCGGUCUUUGUGCACUCCUCCAGCGUCUCGUGCUCAAGAAGCAUAUCGUCCCAGGUGUUGCUGAUCCGGAAGUCAUCAUCCCAGAAGAAAUCCCUGACAACAUCCGGCGACGCGUCUUCGAAGAUAGUGCUACUGCGGUACUGCGGCGGGCCGUUCUGGAAUGAAACAGAGGGUGCAAACAUUUAACUCAUGAGCUCUAGGAUAGUUGUAUCUUCUAUGUCUAAACACUGAAUUACUGAAUCGAAAUUCGCUACAACUAAUCUCACAAAUCUACAACAACUGACUGUCAUCAAUCCAAAAACAGUAGUGCAAUAAUUGACACAAUUUUGACAAGUUGAUACACCUAUAUAUGUUGUUAAAUUCUAAGGCUAUGUAUGAAUCAACUUUGAAAGAGUUGACAGACAAAAUUCUUGGGUUCUACAGUUGCUGCUCAACUAAAAAGCUCUGGGAAGGCUUCAUAUCAUACCUGGGGUUCUCUUUUCCAGGCCUGGUAUCGGAAUGUCGGGAGCGUGCGGUCCAUCAUGUGCGUCCAGGCGGGGCCGCCGUCCUUCUCCUCGACUACCCUGCGGAGGUGCAUCAGGUCCGGGGUGCUGACCGCCAAUUCUUCCUCCUCCACCGGCGCCAGCGAGGCCGCCUUAGCUCUAUAUACCCACACAAAUUAGAUAGAAUUCAGUAAAGGGACUGAAUCAAUCAGAAGCCCCAAAUCCAAUUGGGGGCAGGAGGAUAUGUUUCUUGAAACACAGAGUAAUUCCUCACCUAGGUACGACGGCCAAGUGGUCGGCAACAGUGGUCUGCGGGGCAGGGGCCUGCUGCGCCGCCGCUGCAGCCGGCACCGGCUGCUGUUGGUGCCCGGCGACGUCGACGACUGCGGCGGCCCAGCGCGGGCGCCAGGCCCAGCCGAUGAGCAGGCCCACGAGGGCGGCGAGCCAGAGCGGCGCGGCGAGGGUGGCCAGCUCCCGCGCCACCCCGGCCAGCGUGGGCUCCCGGAAGAUCUCCGCCAGCAUGUCCGCCAGCACCGACAUCUUGUUGUCCCACCUCCGCAAGAUAGAGCCUUGAAGAGCAGGGAGGGAGAAGGAGACGUCUGGGUGUGUGGAUCGGACGGACGGACGGACGGGCGCACCAGAAGAAGAAGAAGAAGAAACCUUUGUGGGUGGUGCGUGGAGAGGGCAGGGCCGCCCCCUGGUUGGAGCGGCGAGGGCCUAGUAGAAACCGCGCGCUGCGCACACCACACACAGCAGCGGGAGGGAGGUGGCCGGCGGAAGAAUCCAAAUCGGGGCGGGGUGGGGAGGGGAGAAGAGAGGGUUGUGGGCGCAGGCGCAGGCGCAGGCGAGGAAUGUGUGGCGCGCGGGAGAUGCGUGCGGUGCGGUGCGGUGCGCGCUGGGGAUAAGGCCAGGCCGUCGGGAGAUAGAUUUAGCAGCAGAGAGGCAGAGUCCAGCCGAUGCAAGGCAGCAGCAGCAAUUGGACGGACGGACGGACGGUCGGAGGAAGGGGACAAGCGCCGCAGCGAGCAGCAAAGGGGAAUUUUGAUUGGUGGAUGGGGAUCACGGGGGGACGGGAGCCAUUGAUAUACUGCUGGGGACGAUGGGGUGGAGGACGGAUUGGGGAAUUGGGGUGGGGAUUUCUGAUCUCUCUCUCACGCGGUGGCGGAGGCGGAGGCGGAGGCGGAACGGAGGUGGUUGGAUUCUUCCUCCGUCCAGUCCACUACAGGGCCGGGUCGUCGUCCGCGAUGGGCCGGGCUUCUUUUCCUUUUUCUUUUUCUUUAUGCUUGUGCGUGUGACGGCGUACACAGUCUCGCUCGCUCGGGUCUGGUCGGGUCGGGGGGUGGACGGUGGUGGGAUGAAGGAGCUGAGCGAGCGGCGCGGUGGACCGGACCGGUUCACACCUCGGACACGCGCGGACCGGACCACCUCGGACCCGGGAGCACGAGGAACCCAUGGGGCUCCGCCCCACCAAAACGAGUAGAGUAGCAGCACCGGGUCGGGUCGGGUCGGGUCAAUCAACCAAAACGGGUAGCGGCACCUUUCAUCUCCUUUCUUUCUUCUAUUUACACGUACGUAGGAGUACUUGCAAAAAGUACCAUCAAUCAAACAGUAACCUACGACCUGCCGCCCAUAACAAUCCCGUCACCUUUUUUUUAACAUCUGUACAGACACAAGCGCUCAUAUACACGCGCAUACAUUCACCUUUAUGAACGCACACACGCAUACCCUACCCCUAUGAGCACCUCCGAAAGACCGAGCCGGCAUAUCUUCUUGAAAUUUAUGAAGUCACCGUAAGCAUCUCGUCGUCGACGGGAACGUCUCCUCCCACUGAAUGUGCAUCGUCGGAAAUCCUGAAAUAAAUCCAAAAAUAAAUGCGAGCACCAGGAUUUGAACCCUGGUGAGCUGGGGAUACGACAGUCUCCGUCACCUCUGCUACCUAUGUCUACGUGUACGUACGCUCCUCUCGUGUCGUGUCACCCCGACGAUGACCACCAUACGUGCCGUCCUUGCUUCCUUUUGUUUCCCUUUAUUUACUUAUUAAUAACACGGCAUAAUCAUACAUAGAUGCUCACGUGCGUACACGUAUAUAUAAACGCACGUUCAACCCAUGCCUCCACGGCGAUGCGGCCGGCCGUUCGGUCGCUGCUCGUUCCUGAGCGCCUGGACCUGACCAUGUCUUUGUGUUAUGCAGGUGGUCUUUGUGAAUGCGGCUUUUUGGCCGCCGCCGUCGACGACCUCUUGCCAUCUAUCAUGGUGUUCCGGAGGCUCGGAAACGGCGUUGAGUUUUGCAGACGACGCGACGGGUGCACGAGGAAUACAUGGAUUUCAACAACGCAACUUUUUGGCUUUCUGUGGCGACGAACCUUGUAAGGGGUGGUCGACGCGGCUGGCAGCUUUAGUGUUUUGGAAUGGUGGCAUUUCGUUUAUUUAUUUUAGUCCAUUCUUCGCUCAGCUUCAGAUCUUGAUCCGUUGCCUAUGAGAGGGUUCGUUGCCGCUGCUGGGUGUACGAGAAAGACGACGUCGCACGUGCAUUUCCACGACGUAGUUUAAAUUUUUUGUAGUGACGGGCCUUGUAAGGGUUGAUCAACGUUUUCAAUACAUGGAUCUUUAGCCUUAUGAUAUCGGGAAAAAAGAGUAGUUUUAUGCAAGUGAGAUCUGAGUGCGCACGUGCUGUUGAGGUCGGUCAGUCCGAUCGGGCGGGAGAAGAAAAGUGGGACGGCGACGGGCGUACGGAUCCUGCCGUCCAGUGCAGGCGGACGUGGAGCUAGCGGAGAUGAAACGUACGGUCACGGAGCGAGCGCAAUGUUUGACGGCUGAUGAUGGUACGACGGCUGACCGGCCGGCCACGCGGUCCACCAGACGGCACGGUGACGCGGCGCCGAAUCCAGCCGCACGCACAUAACGUUGGACGGGUGACUAAAACUAUUUAUUUGGCUUUCCGCACGCCCGAUCAUGCGAUUUUGAUCGGUUGCUGGCACAGGCAACCCCGCCCUGGUACCUAUAUACUCUUCCAAAAUAAUUGGAGUUUUAGGUUUUGCGUGAUAAUAUGUGUCUCCUUUAUACUCCCUCCGUUCCAAAAUAGAUGACCCAACUUUGUACUAAACUUAGUAUAAAGUUGAGUCAUCUAUUUUGGAACGGAGGGAGUAUAUCAUAAUAAGGAUCAUACUACAAACCAUGUGUACACUGACCUGACAAAACUAAACAAAUAGUAAAACGAUAGCCUUUACACAAAAGAACACCGGUCAAGAAGUAAAAUUAUAAACGAGACUGAAGAAACCUCUGAGCUUGACACCAACACCCAUCACCGACUUCUGGCACCACGACAACAUCUACCAAGGAAAAGAAAUGACGGAUCACGUCCACACCCCGAGCUCAACGAUUGAAUUUGCUAAGCAUGACCAGCUCUAUGGAAGAUAUGGUAUGGUGUACAAUACGAAAUACACAUAGUAUGGGAACACACGUCGUAAGUAAUUCCAUUGAGAUUAAUCUGUGGCGAGCUUCUUUGAUGGUUCAUCGAUGGUGGAGUCGGAGUCGCCCUCGCGAAGGUGUGAUGACGAUGGCGCCAGGUGGCAACCUCGACGACACUUUUCUCCCCGGCGGCGUGUGUGUGUUCUUAUGUGGAUUGUCAUGUCACCCCGUGUGUCUUGUUUUUACGGGCGUGUUGUAAAUCGGGUCGCAAGGGACCACAUUUUAAAAAAUAUUUGACAUAUUGGCUUGGUUAAACUUAAACAAGUUUUACUUGGGACAAACACAUAAGUCCAAUUAUUUCCGAACAGAGGUAGCACUUCUCUUCCUCUGUCGACAUCCGAAUUUUUUUUACAGCAGUUAUUGAGAUGUAUUUGCGUUACAAAAUUGAUAUUUUUUUGUUUUUAGGAACAAAAAAGACAGUAGUAUUACCGAAAAAAGCUUUCGCCCCGCUUUAUAUAUAAAGCAAUGAUCAACAGCAUCCAAUACAAGUGCACACCCUCACAACACAAGCACACACGCACCCAGGCAGGAUACAUAAGCACCGAGCGCAACAACACCAAUCCAAGCACUACACUAAGAGGUGAAGCCACAUAUGACGAACCGUGGACUUCAAGACGGCGCCUUCAGGAAGGGAACGACACCGGAGCGCCGCCACCGCCCGAUCCGAGGAUCAGAGUUUCCCCUAGAGCACCACGACGGGCAAUGAGAGCCGCGACGACGCCUUCAAGAAGGGAACGAGUUUCGCCGCCGCCGGUCCCUCCGAAGAUACACUAGUAGAUAAAGGGCCUUUAGUUCCGGUUCAUAAGGGACUAGUGACGGUACGCAAAAGCAUGCACAAUGGGGGAUUUUGAACCAUGUUCGAUGACCCAAAGAAGAAUUUUCUUUUGUACAUUUUGUCUCCAAGGGACCAUCAGCCCAACAACAAUGAAACGACAAUUUUGUAUAAAAACAACAACAAUGAAACAACAUCUAGUGCAACAAAAGGAAAGCUUGGGGAACAAUCAAAACUGUCUGCCGUCCAGAUCGAACGAUCCAUCGUGCAUGGGUAGGGAAUUAAACUUUUCCACAUGUCUUUCAGGCUUUUAGGGGUAUAAAUUAAUUCAGACCACACAAUUAAGGUAGCAAACUGAUUUAAGGUGAUGGGAAACAUAAAUGGAGACAAAUGCCAGUUUAUUGCUCGAUCUGCAGCCAUCCUAAUUAGCGUUUUAUGUUCCUCUAGUUAAUCCUUACCCCAACGUACACUCUAUCAAUGACAGCAAAUGAGAUCAAAUCAGAAGUUACAUGCCCCGUUAAUUGCUCCAUUUCAUCUGUAUAUAUAUGCUGCUCGCCUGGCCAAGUUGCAUACUCGAUCAACAAUUGACUCAAGCUUGUAAACUUAAUCUCCUCAACCAGCGAGCCCCAUCCAUGGCAUCCUCCAAGCCUCUCGCCGCCGUCACCCUCCUCCUCAUUGUUGUCGUGCUUCUCAUGGUUGUGGAUGCGCAGCCGUCAUCCAAGAUAGGUACGGACGUGAAUCCAUGCAUAUGUCCCCGGUCAACUAAUAAUAUAUUUCGUCUGAUUAAAUGGAUGACAAUAUGCACGUACAAUUCAUCUAUAAGAAACUGAUAUGAAUUUUGCUGUGUGCAGAUUGCCCGUCGGCGUGCAAGGCUCGGUGUGCAAAGAACUGGAAGAACAAGAUGUGCAACAGGAUGUGCAACAUCUGCUGCGGCAAGUGCAACUGUGUCCCCUCCGGCACCAGCCAGGCGACCCGUAACGAAUGCCCCUGCUACGCCAACUUGAAAAACUCCAAGAACGGCAAGCUCAAGUGCCCCUAGACUAGACCCUAUAGGCAUGUGUGCGUGCAUGCCGGAGUUGUACGGACUUAUCUAAUGAAUUAUCAUGAUCUACCAAAUCAAAUCAUAUAUAGGCUUAUUUUCUUUUGACGGCAUCGACACAUUAUUGUCAUGUACUCUUCCUGGUCAAUCGUACCUAGAGACUAUAAGAAACUGAGAUUAGGAUUUUGAUUUCAGAUGGAUUCUUAUCUAGUGACCCAGGGCGGAACCUGGACGCGAGGAGUAAAAAUUCUUUUUUUUUUAUUUUUUCUUACAAAUUGGAUUUGUUUCGUACAUUCAUCUAUGAGAAAAUCCGGUGGUUAGAAUUCUUUCCAAUUCGAAAAUCCCAAAUGAUCAAGGGAGUGGAAAGAAAGGGAUUCGAACCCUCGGCACAAAAAAGUUGUACAACGGAUUAGCAAUCCGCCGCUUUAGUCCACUCAGCCAUCUCUCCAGGUUGCUUCUAUUUAUUGGUCGGAAAACAUCUUUAUCCAAAACCCUUUAGCAUUGGACUAAUUAUCUUAGAAGACAGUCAAGUACUUACUUUUAAUUGUUGGAACUAGUGCACUAGAUCUCUAAUGCAAUGUAGUCAAUCAAUGGAUUUCUAAUUGAAAUUCAACAAAUAAUUAGAGAAGGUAAAAAGACACACGACAAAGGACUCGUUUGCCGAGUACCCAUGGAAAAACACUCGGCAAACAACCUGACACUCGGCACAUAACAUUUUCCCGUGGCGUAUAGUCAAAUGUGUCAUAAUUAAGCUAGCUUUGUACAUGCCAAGCUUGUAGCCAUGGAAUUUUUCUUUAGCAUAUAUGCCUUUUUUGUAUAGCUUGAAUGCACUCCAAAUGGAUGUUUUCUGUGAUCAUUCUCCCUGGGGCGAAAGCCAUCUGGAUUAGUUAUAUUGUAUCCUGCAGCACGGCCGUAACGAUUGGCCAAGCAUUUUGAAACCACUCUGUAAACCUCAUUGCAAAAACUGUCAUGUCUAAAAUCUCUGACGUACGUUGUUUUUGUGGACAAUACUGCCGAUAACUAUAUGCAAACUCUAGGUCCUUUUUUCACAAAUAAACAGUGACGUCUAAAAAUACUGUCACGUCUAAAAUCUCUGGGAAACUCCAGUGGAGAGCUACUUAUGGUCAAUAUUACUUGAGCUCCGCUAAAACUAUACUUCUUCCGCCCGGAAUUACUCGUCGGUGUCGCUCAGAUGGAUGUAUCCUGCAAUGAAAUAGUGCUAGAUAUUUCCAUUUGAGGGCUCGUUUGAUUCAAAGGAAUUGCAUAGAAUUUUUGGAGGAUUUAAACCCUUAGGAAUUUUUCAUGUGAUGCUCGUUUGAUUCGUAGGAUUGACAUCCUUAGGAAUUUUUCCAUAUGAUCCAUUUGUACUACAUUUUGGAGGAAAAUUUCCAUCCACUCAAACCUCUUUGUAGAAUUCCUUUGUUUUUUCUAUGCUAUCAAACAUUCUUUCAAAUCCUGUAGGAUACUAUGGGACAUGUCACCCUAUUCCUCCAUUUUUCCUAUUCCUUCAUUUUGACAAUCCUGUGAAUCAAAGAGGCCCUGAGCGAUAAAUAAUUCGGGACGAAGGUAGUAGUUGUCUCCUCCAGCUCAACCUGAGUGUGAUAUGCAUGUAGCUUUAGCAUCGGGUCACAAUUUGGGACGACCGCACUCAAGUUUUCUAAGGAGGGUUCAAGCUCACUUGCAGCUUGUAGCUCAAGUUUUCUAGAAAUGAGCAGCACGCGAAUCCAAUGCUCAGCCUUUCUAUGGUGGUUUCCGUGUAAUGCAAGAGCAACAAAGCAAGAGGUAUAUAUACGAGGAACAGUACGUGACCUUUUUGUUUUUAAACUCCCGAAAGCUCAGUACCUGCUAUCCAAAAUUGUACUGUUAUAUUGCAAAGAAUGUCCAUCCUGACGAGCGUGUCUUCAAGAAUCAGAAUUUUACGUUCUUUCGGCGAGUGGGCGACCAAGACGAUCGACCAAAGACAACUAGGUGACCGUGACUGGCUCACGGGCGAGUGCGCGAUACUUUUUCUGUAAAAUUAGUUUGCUUUUUUUUUUAGAAAAGGAGGAUGACCCCCGGCCAAAAAAAAUUAGUUUGCUGAGGACCUUUGUGUCGUCGCGACCCGAGCGAACGAAGUUUCACAUGACUGGGUGACAGUCGUCCAGACGUACCCGGGGCCGGCGAAAUGGCCAAAUGAGCCGUCUGCCAGGAACUUGGGAUANNNNNNNNNNNNNNNNNNNNNNNNNNNNNNNNNNNNNNNNNNNNNNNNNNNNNNNNNNNNNNNNNNNNNNNNNNNNNNNNNNNNNNNNNNNNNNNNNNNNNNNNNNNNNNNNNNNNNNNNNNNNNNNNNNNNNNNNNNNNNNNNNNNNNNNNNNNNNNNNNNNNNNNNNNNNNNNNNNNNNNNNNNNNNNNNNNNNNNNNNNNNNNNNNNNNNNNNNNNNNNNNNNNNNNNNNNNNNNNNNNNNNNNNNNNNNNNNNNNNNNNNNNNNNNNNNNNNNNNNNNNNNNNNNNNNNNNNNNNNNNNNNNNNNNNNNNNNNNNNNNNNNNNNNNNNNNNNNNNNNNNNNNNNNNNNNNNNNNNNNNNNNNNNNNNNNNNNNNNNNNNNNNNNNNNNNNNNNNNNNNNNNNNNNNNNNNNNNNNNNNNNNNNNNNNNNNNNNNNNNNNNNNNNNNNNNNNNNNNNNNNNNNNNNNNNNNNNNNNNNNNNNNNNNNNNNNNNNNNNNNNNNNNNNNNNNNNNNNNNNNNNNNNNNNNNNNNNNNNNNNNNNNNNNNNNNNNNNNNNNNNNNNNNNNNNNNNNUACUGCUCGUCUCACUCACUCUCCUACUUGCCACGUUUCUCCAGGCCAAGGCAGUGCCAUCCCUGCAAGAUCAAGCAGGAGCGCUCCUUGCCUGGAAAGCCACGCUCCAAAGCCACCCAGCCCAGCUGCAAUCCUGGUCAAGGGGAAACAAUACUAGCACACGGCCCUGCAGCUGGUAUGGCAUCAAGUGCCGCAAGCAUCAAGUAAGUCACCAAGAGGUGAUCACCGGGAUCUCUCUACGUGGGCUGCGUUUGAGAGGGGAUCUCGACGCCCUCAACUUCACGGCGUUGGAAACCCUGACAAGCGUUCAACUCUCGCACAACAAGCUCACUGGGAGGAUCCCUCCGAGCAUUGUGUCCCUCAAAGAGCUCCGGUUCCUGCUUCUUCGGCGCAAUCAGAUAAGGGGCCCUUUAUCACCUGCUUUAGCAUCCUUGACAAAGCUGCAGUACUUAAUGCUCCAACAGAAUGAACUCUUCGGUGAAAUAACAAGGCAAAUAGGAGAACUAGAGGGUCUUGUGAAGCUGAAUUUGUCUGCCAACCACUUGUCUGGUCCCAUCCCCGGCGAACUAGGCUACCUAAAUAAGUUGUCCAUGUUAGAUUUUUCUAGCAACAACCUCACAGGCCCCAUUCCAAGAAAUUUAGGUAAUCUCACUAGACUCACUAUCUUGUACCUUUCUGGUAAUUAUUUAUCUGGAUAUCUUCCUCGAGAACUAGGUUACCAUGUAAAUUUAAAAGAUUUGGAUCUUAGCAAAAAUAUACUGAUAGGUUCCAUCCCCAAUUCCUUUGGGAGUUUGAUUAACGUCAAUGUCUUGGCCCUAUGGCAUAACCAAUUUUCGGACAAUAUUCCUCGAGAACUAGGUUACCUAGUGAAUCUAAAAGAGUUGUAUCUUAACAUGAACAAACUCAAUGGUUCCAUUCCCAGUACCUUUGGGAAUUUGACAAAGCUCACAAUCUUCUACCUUCAUGAUAAUAAGAUCUCUCAAUAUCUUCCUCGAGAACUAGGUUACCUAGUGAAUCUACGAAAGUGUAUCUGUGGAAUAAUACAUUUUCCGGGUGUAUUCCUCGGGAACUAGGUUACUUGGUGAAUCUGGAAGAGUUGGAUCUUAGCUAUAACAAACUAAUAUGUACUAUUCCCAAUACUUUUGGGAGUUUGAUUAAUCUCACUGGUUUGUACGUCAGUGAUAACCAACUCAUGGGUCCUAUCCCUAGUAUCUUUCGAAUUAUGACUAAGCUCACUACAUUACACCUCGAUGAUAAUCAAUUCUCUGGAAAUGUUCCGCAAGAAAUUGGCGCCUUAAAGGAUCUUGAAAAUCUGCAAUUUGAUGGUAACAAUCUCUCGGGUCCGUUGCCACCUGGGUUGUGUUCCGGAGGUCGGCUCAAGAAUUUUACUACAUAUGACAACAAUCUGACAGGACCACUACCACCAAGUUUGAUACAUUGCAGAAGCCUCGUUAGAGUUCGUUUGGAAAGGAAUCAAAUAACAGGAGAUAUUUCUGAGUUGGGAGUUGAUCCAAAUCUUCUCUAUAUGGAUCUGAGCUCAAAUAAAUUAUUUGGCCAAUUAGCUUCUCACUGGACGGAAAGUGGUAAUCUUACCAUGCUAUGCCUCUCAAACAACAACCUCACGGGGGAAAUACCCACAAGUAUGGGGCAACUGCCUCAGCUAGGGGUGCUUGACCUUUCAUUAAACAACCUCGAAGGAGAUAUUCCAAGUGAAUUUGGUAAUCUGAAAUUUUUGUUCCAGUUGAGUCUUGAAGACAAUUUUCUCCAUGGAAGCAUACCACAAGAAAUUGGAGCACUGUCCAAUCUAGAGUUGUUGGAUUUGUCAUCAAAUAACCUAAGUGGUUUGGUACAUGAAUCAAUUGGGAAUUUUUAAAGCUUCGCUCAUUAAAUUUGAGCAGAAAUAACCUGAAAGGAAGCAUCCCUACCAUCCUCGGGUUAUUGCACAACUUACAAUACAUGUUGGAUUUAAGUGAUAAUUCAUUUGAUGGGGCAAUACCAAGCCAACUUAGUGGCCUGAUCAUGCUAGAUACCUUGAAUAUUUCACACAAUGAACUUAAUGGCUCCAUCCCUCGAUCAUUUCAGAGUAUGGAAAGCUUGAUAUCCAUUGAUAUAUCUUACAAUGAAUUGGAAGGACCAAUCCCAGAGAGUAAGCUCUUCCAAGAAGCUCCAAUACAGUGGUUCAUCCAUAAUAAGAUGCUAUGUGGUGUAGUUAAAGGAUUGCCCCCUUGUAGUAGUGCAACUCAGAGCAAAGGGAAAAGGAAAAGAUACAACACACUUGUACUAGCCAUAGUUCCUCCUUUGAUAUUUCUUGUUAUCAUUGUGGGGAUAUUGAUGCUUCGGCAUGAAAGGAAGAAACCCAAUGCAAUGAACACCACUAAUGUAACACAAACAAAGCUCUUCUCUAUUUGGAGUUUUGAUGGGCAGACGUGUUCAAGGAAAUUGUUGAAGCAACCAAUGAUUUUAGUGACAAACAUUGCAUAGGAACUGGGGGAUAUGGAUCUGUCUACAAGGCUAGACUUCCGACAUCUGAAGUAUUUGCAGUGAAGAAGAUACACAUGAUAGAAGAUGAGUGUAUGGUGAAGGAAGCAGUGUUCAAUCGUGAAAUCAAGGCAUUAUUGCAAAUUCGGCAUCGAAACAUCAUAAAAUUAUUUGGGUAUUGUUGCUCUAGUCAAGGAAAGUUCCUUAUCUAUGAAUAUAUGGAUAGAGGAGACUUAGCAAAAACACUGAGGGCCAAUGGAAGGGCAGUCGAGUUGGACUGGGGAAGGCGGACACAUAUUGUGUUAGGCGUGGUCCAUGCUUUGGCAUACAUGCAUCAUGAUUGUUCGCCACCAAUAGUCCAUGGAGAUAUAACAAGCAAAAAUAUUUUGCUUGAUCUGGAAUUUAGAGCAUGCAUCUCUGACUUUGGCACGGCUAAAAUUCUUUGUGGUCAAAAUCUCACAAGGCUUGCUGGAACGAAAGGCUAUAUUGCCCCAGGUAAACAAAAAUAAAACCGUAUGAACUAGUUUUGCAGGUUUUGCACUACAUACAUAGGUUCAUGAAAUUGUAAUGUAUUCUGAUCAUUACGACGAACUUUGAACUAUUUAACACAUAUCUAUUAAUCAAUUGGUAUUCAUUGCAGAGCUAGCAUAUAUAGAUCAUGUGACGGAGAAAUGUGAUGUAUAUAGCUUUGGAGUGCUUGUUCUAGAGAUAUUUAUGGGAUCCAAUCCAGGCGAUUCGCUCUCAUCUCUCUCCUUGGGCACCAAGAAUAAUGAUGUGUGUCUGCAGGAUCUGCUGGACUCGAGGCUUGUGCUCCCAGAUGCUGAAACCGCUAAAGAAAUAUAUUGCAUGCUCACUGUUGCAGUCUAGUGCCUGGAGCCAAGUCCAUCACGCAGACCAACAGCACAACGAGCCAAUGAUGAACUUUCUUCUAUUAAAGCAUGCGGAGAUCAUGUUGAUUAUCUGCACGCUGCCCUCACCAUUCCUGCAUAGUAGUGCCAAUGGCUAUAGAUGAUGAACUCGUGUCAUGUAGUGUCUUCUUUGCAACCUAUGCACCUACUUUCAUAAAAAGUGUAGUUGCAUCUAUAGCUAGCAAUAAACAUAUAAUUUAUAUUGUAUAUAUGGAUAGAAAAGUUGUAAUGUAAACAUAGAACCAUUAAAAAAGUGGCUUGAUUUUCUUGUAGUAACAUUGUAAGAUGGGACGAUUACAUUUGAAUUGACCGCAUUAGUUAUGUCUUGAUGCACUGAAGGCACCCUAAGAGGGUAUGUCACAACAACGAGGUUCGUCGUAAAAAGUUACGUCGAUGCAAGUUUUGACACGGAUCUGGAUGACUCUAAGUCUCGAUCUAGAUACAUAUUGAAAGUGGGAGCAAUUAGCUAGAGUAGCUCCGUGCAGAGCAUUGUAGACAUAGAAAAUUGCAAAAUACAUAACGGAUCUGAAUGUGAAAGACCGUUGACUAAAAUUCUCUCACAAGCAAAACAUGAUCACACCUUAGUACUCUUUGGGUGUUAAUCACAUAGCGAUGUGAACUAGAUUACCGAAUCUAGUAAACCCUUUGGGUGUUGGUCACAUGGCGAUGUGAACUAUGGGUGUUAAUCACAUGAUGAUGUGAACUAUCGAUGUUAAUCACAUGAUGAUGUGAUCUAGAUUAUUGACUCUAGUGCAAGUGGGAGACUGAAGGAAAUAUGCCCUAGAGGCAAUAAUAAAGUUAUUAUUUAUUUCCUUAUAUCAUGAUAAAUGUUUAUUAUUCAUGCUAGAAUUGUAUUAACCGAAAACAUAAUACAUGUGUGAAUACAUAGACAAACAGAGUGUCCCUAGUAUGCCUCUACUUGACUAGCUCGUUAAUCAAAGAUGGUUAUGUUUCCAAACCAUGGACAAAAGAGUUGUUAUUUGAUUAACGAGAUCACAUCAUUAGUUGAAUGAUCUGAUUGACAUGACCCAUUCCAUUAGCUUAGCACCCGAUCGUUUAGUAUGUUGCUAUUGCUUUCUUCAUGACUUACCUAUGACUAUGAGAUUAUGCAACUCCCGUUUGCCGGAGGAACACUUGGGGUGCUACCAAACGUCACAACGUAACUGGGUGAUUAUAAAGGAGCACUACAGGUGUCUCCAAAGGUACAUGUUGGGUUGGCGUAUUUCGAGAUUAGGAUUUGUCACUCCGAUUGUCGGAGAGGUAUCUCUGGGCCCUCUCGGUAAUACACAUCACAUAAGCCUUGCAAGCAUUACAACUAAUAUGUUAGUUGUGAGAUGAUGUAUUACGAAACGAGUAAAGAGACUUGCCGGUAACGAGAUUGAACUAGGUAUUGGAUACCGAUGAUCGAAUCUCGGGCAAGUAACAUACCGAUGACAAAGGGAACAACGUAUGUUGUUAUGCGGUCUGACCGAUAAAGAUCUUCGUAGAAUAUGUAGGAGCCAAUAUGGGCAUCCAGGUCCCGCUAUUGGUUAUUGACCGGAGAUGUGUCUCAGUCAUGUCUACAUUGUUUUCGAACCGUAGGGUCCGCACGCUUAACGUUACGAUGACAAUUAUUAUGAGUUUAUGCAUUUUGAUGUACCGAAGUUAGUUCGGAGUCCCGGAUGUGAUCACGGACAUGACGAGGAGUCUCGAAAUGGUCGAGACAUAAAGAUUGAUAUAUUGGAAGCCUAUAUUUGGAUAUCGGAAGUGUUCCGGAUGAAAUCGGGAUUUUACCGGAGUACCGGGAGGUUACCGGAACCCCCCGGGAGCCAUAUGGGCCUUAAUGGGCUUUAGUGGAAAGGAGAAAGGGGCAGCCCAAGGUGGCCGCGCGCCUCCCCCCUCCCCUAGUCCUAUUAGGACUAGGAAAGGUGGCCGGCCCCCCUCUCUCUCUUUCCCCCUCGGGGAAUCCUAGUCCAACUAGGAUUGGGGGGGGGGAGUCCUACUCCCGGUAGGAGUAGGACUCCUCCUGCGCCCUCCUCCUGGCCGCCGCCCCCUCCCCCUUGGCUCCUUUAUAUACGGAGGCAGGGGGCACCUCUAGACACAGAAGUUGAUCAUUGAGAUCGUUCCUUAGCCGUGUGCGGUGCCCCCUGCACCAUAUUCCACCUCGAUCAUAUCGUUGUAGUGCUUAGGCGAAGCCCUGCGUCGGUAGAACAUCAAGAUCGUCACCACGCCGUCGUGCUGAUGGAACUCCUCCCCGAAGCUUUGUUGGAUCGGAGCCCGGGGAUCGUCAUCGAGCUGUACGUGUGCUAAGAACUCGGAGGUGCCGGAGUAACGGUGCUUGGAUCGGUCGGAUCGGGAAGAAGACGUACGACUACUUCCUCUACGUUGUGUCAACGCUUCCAUUGCGAUCUACAAGGGUACGUAGAUCAUACUAUCCCCUUCGUUGCUAUGCAUCACCAUGAUCUUGCGUGUGCGUAGGGAAAUUUUUGAAAUUACUACGUUCCCCAACACCCCCCUGCCCCCGUAUAUAAAGGAGUAAGGGGGAGGGGCGGCCGGCCAGGAGGAGGCGCGCCAGGGAGGAGUCCUACUCCUACCGGGAGUAGGACUCCCUCCUUUUUCCUUGUCCAACUAGGAGAGGGGGAAGGAAGGGAGAGAGGAGAGGAAGGAAAGGGGGGGGGCGCCGCCCCCCCUCCUUGUCCAAUUCGGACUAGAGGGGGAGGGGGCGCGCGGCCUGCCCUGGCCGCCCCUCCUCUUCUCCACUUUGGGCCCAUGAGGCCCAUUAACCCCCGGGGGGGUUCCGGUAACCCCUCGGUACUCCGGUUUUAUCCGAAACUUCUCUGGAACAUUUCCGGUGUCCGAAUAUAGCCGUCCAAUAUAUCAAUCUUUAUGUCUCAAACCAUUUCGAGACUCCUCGUCAUGUUCGUGAUCACAUCCGGGACUCCGAACAAACUUUGGUACAUCAAAAUAUAUAAACUCAUGAUGAAACUGUCAUCGUAAUGUUAAGCGUGCGGACCCUACGGGUUCGAGAACAAUGUAGACAUGACCGAGACACGUCUCCGGUCAAUAACCAAUAGCAGAACCAGGAUGCUCAUAUUGGCUCCUACAUAUUCUACGAAGAUCUUUAUCGUUCAGACCGCAUAACAACAUACGUUGUUCCCUUUGUCAUCGGUAUGUUACUUGCCCGAGAUUCGAUCGUCGGUAUCUUAAUACCUAGUUCAAUCUCGUUACCGGCAAGUCUCUUUACUCGUUCUGUAACACAUCAUCUCGCAACUAACUCAUUAGUUGCAAUGCUUGCAAGGCUUAUGUGAUGUGCAUUACCGAGAGGGCCCAGAGAUACCUCUCCGACAAUUGGAGUGACAAAUCCUAAUCUCGAAAUACGCCAACCCAUCAUGUACUUUUGGAGACACCUGUAGAGCUCCUUUAUAAUCACCCAGUUACAUUGUGACGUUUGGUAGCACACAAAGUGUUCCUGCGGCAAACGGGAGUUGCAUAAUCUCAUAGUCAUAGGAACAUGUAUAAGUCAUGAAGAAAGCAAUAGCAACAUACUAAACGAUCAGGUGCUAAGCUAAUGGAAUGGGUCAUGUCAAUCACAUCAUUCUCCUAAUGAUGUGAUCCCGUUAAUCAAAUGACAACACAUGUCUAUGAUUAGGAAACAUAACCAUCUUCGAUUAACGAGCUAGUCAAGUAGAGGCAUACUAGUGACGUUUAGUUUUUCUAUGUAUUCACACAAGUAUUAUGUUUCCGGUUAAUACAAUUCUAGCAUGAAUAAUAAACAUUUAUCAUGAUAUAAGGAAAUAAAUAAUACCUUUAUUAUUGCCUCUAGGGCAUAUUUCCUUCAACUAGAGCUUCAAACCUCAAGCUAAACAGAGUAAUACUAGUGCAUACAAAGCCUCAAGCUAAACAAAAUAUGCAGUACCUAGGAAGUAAUCAUCAUAUUUUCACAAAAACAACAUGCAAUGCAGACAUAUAUACUCAUACAAGAAGAUCACUGCCUGCAGUUUUAUUUAGAUGACAUACACUGCAAAAAUCUUAAGAGAAAACAACUGCACCGAGCAAUUUACUUCAUGAUUAAGCAAGCAAGUCGAUAUGGCAUCAAAUCGAACACAAGCAUAAAAGAUCUGUCAAUCUGCAUCAUCAGUAGAGCUACACUGCAGCAGGGCAUUUCAGCAUUAUUUAACCCUUCAAAUAUUUUGUCAGAGUACAUGCCACGAGUCUACACUCUAUAGUAAACACAACUAUAGUUUUCAGCAAACGAAACACAAAUCUGGGGUACCAACCGUUCAAAAGGACAACAAAACCGCAUCUAAACAGCAGGGUUCCGGAAAUCACAAUACAAAAUUGUGCAUCUCACAGCUGACUCACACAUAUUUAAUCUAAAUAAAACUGGACUAACUAGCCAAUAAUCAACCUCUUUAGCUCCAGUAUUUUCAACCUGACCAAUUUAGCUCCAAUAUUUUCAACCUGAUCAUGACAAAAGGUCAGUCAGGACUAAAUAUGUUAAAAAAGUGUAGGGAAACAAAACUCCAGUGCUGUAGAAUAGUUGCUGCAACCUCCGUAUUAAGUACACAAAAAUAAGAAGGAUUCAAUAAUAUAUAUAUACAUGCACAAAAAGAAGAGUUGCCAUCAAUGCUUCAGUUCUGCACUUAUCGAUGUAGCGGUAUAUAUACCAAUUCAUAGUACUGUCUGAUGGAGUCACGUACCUAGGGUAGGGUCACAGACCUGAUCUAAGUACCCUGCCCGAGGACACCCUUAGAAGAGAUCACCUUCCAGUCGACCUACGAGGGACUCACUCGACUGACUUGAAGGACUCGACCACGAAGACUCACUCGACCACCAGAAGGUCAAGAGGCCCUCUGCACUACAACGACCUGUAAUUAAGUAGACUUUAUGAUAGUAAAGACACUUUAUGUGGGGCGUUACCUAUAACGCCCCGGACUUAAUACACCUUAAACCCUUCAUUACGUGGGCUGGCUGGGGUCCUGGCGCACUCUAUAUAAGCCACCCCCCCUCCACAGGCAGAAGGGUUCGGCACCUUGUAAUCCAUAUACACAUAAUCCACUCGACCGCCUCCGGGCUCCGAGACGUAGGGCUUUUACUUCCUCCGAGAAGGGCCUGAACUCGUACAUCUCUUGUGUUUACAACCUCUCCAUAGCUAGGACCUUGCCUCUCCAUACCUACCCCCACUCUACUGUCAGACUUAGAACCACGACAGUUGGCGCCCACCAUGGGGCCGGUGUUUUAGCGAUUUUGUGGAGAAGUUGCGAUUCUUCCGAGUACUUUCAUCAUGGUGGCUGCUGGAGUUUUGGUCGAGGGUCGAGAGAUCCGUCUCGGUGCUCUCACCUUCGUCGCGGACGACUCCGCCUGGCUCCAGGAGGCUCCACUCGACGUCGAUGCGCUCCCCGUCCGCGGUGCGACGCAUUUUCGCGCAUGUGUCCGCGGCGUUCUGCUGCGGCAACCGUCGACCCCGUAUCGGUCGACUCCCCCGUCGGCCACCCUCCCGGUCUCCCGCCAGCGUAAGCGCUCGGGCCGGUCGAGGCUUCAGCGGUGGGUGAGGCACGCGGUGGCUCGCCAGACGGCCACCACCCAAGUUGCGGCAAUCGAGCCCGACGAAUCUCUCUACGGCCUGUUCGAUCUGUCGACUGGCUCCGUAGAGACUGCAUCCGAGUGCGAUAGCAGUGAUCCAGCAGCGGAAAUCCUGAUGGUCGACGGGCCCCGCAGUCCCCCUGGCUUCGCCCGUGAUGGUGGGGCAGGCGACGGAGGCGACCCCGCACGAGACCACGAAGAGUACCAGCCCGAGCCACUCGACUCUCUGCAAAGAGAGGAACUUCGCCGCAGGAACGUGGAUGCCCUGCGUACUCCCAUCACAGGAGAAACCCCCGAGGCUCGCGCCUUGGAGGAGGCGCGUGUUGGGGAACGUAGCAGAAAUUCAAAAUUUUCCUACGUGUCACUAAGAUCUAUCUAUGGAGAGACCAGCAACGAGUAGAAAGAGAGUGCAUCUACAUACCCUUGUAGAUCGCUAAGCGGAAGCGUUCAAGUGAACGGGGUUGAUGGAGUCGUACUCGUCGUGAUUCAAAUCACCGAUGAUCCUAGUGCCGAACGGACGGCACCUCCGCGUUCAACACACGUACAGCCCGGUGACGUCUCCCACGCCUUGAUCCAGCAAGGAGAGAGGGAGAGGUUGAGGAAGACUCCAUCCAACAGCAGCACAACGGCGUGGUGGUGGUGGAGGAGCGUGGCAAUCCAGCAGGGCUUCGCCAAGCACCAUGGGAGAGGAGGAGUAGGGAGAGAGGUAGGGCUGUGCCAGAACUUCGUGUAUAGCUCCCAUGCGCCUCCCCACUAUAUAUAGGGGUGGAGGGGCUGGUUUCUUGCCCUCCAAGUCCAUUGGGGCGUUGGCCAAGGUGGGAGGAAAGAAAUCUCAUUAUUUCCUUCCCCACCAAUUGUUAUCCCCCCUUUUUAGGGAUCUUGAUCUUAUCCCUUCGGGAUAUGAUCUUAUUCCUUCUAAGGGGGGAUCUUGGUGCGCCUUGACCAGGGGUGUGGGGCCUUGCCCCCACUACCCACGUCCAUGUGGGUCCCCCCAUGCAGGUGGGCCCCACUCCGGAACCUUCUAGAACCUUCCCGGUACAAUACCGAAAAAUCCCGAACAUUUUCCGGUGGCCAAAAUAGGACUUCCCAUAUAUAAAUCUUUACCUCCGGACCAUUCCGGAACUCCUCGUGACGUCCGGGAUCUCAUCCGGAACUCCGAACAACAUUCGGUAACCACAUACAAACUUCCUUUAUAACCCUAGCGUCAUCGAACCUUAAGUGUGUAGACCCUACGGGUUCGGGAGACAUGUAGACAUGACCGAGACGUUCUCCGGUCAAUAACCAACAGCGGGAUCUGGAUACCCAUGAUGGCUCCCACAUGUUCCACGAUGAUCUCAUCGGAUGAACCACGAUGUCAAGGACUUAAUCAAUCCCGUAUUCAAUUCCCUUUGUCUAUCGGUAUGUUACUUGCCCGAGAUUCGAUCGUCGGUAUCCAAUACCUUGUUCAAUCUCGUUACCGGCAAGUCACUUUACUCGUUCCGUAACACAUCAUCCCGUGAUCAACUCCUUGGUCACAUUGCGCAUAUGAUGAUGUCCUACUGAGUGGGCCCAGAGAUACCUCUCCGUUUACACGGAGUGACAAAUCCCAGUCUCGAUCCGCAUAAAACAAUAGAUACUUUCGUAGAUACCUGUAGUGCACCUUUAUAGUCACCCAGUUACGUUGUGACGUUUGAUACACCCAAAGCACUCCUACGGUAUCCAGGAGUUACACGCUCUCAUGGUCGAAGGAAGAGAUACUUGACAUUGGCAAAGCUCUAGCAAAUGAACUACACGAUCUUUUGUGCUAGUCUUAGGAUUGGGUCUUGUCCAUCACAUCAUUCUCCUAAUGAUGUGAUCCCGUUAUCAACGACAUCCAAUGUCCAUAGCCAGGAAACCAUGACUAUCUGUUGAUCACAACGAGCUAGUCAACUAGAGGCUCACUAGGGACAUAUUGUGGUCUAUGUAUUCACACGUGUAUUACGAUUUCCGGAUAAUAUAGUUAUAGCAUGAAUAAAAGACAAUUAUCAUGAACAAGGAAAUAUAAUAAUAAUACUUUUAUUAUUGCCUCUAGGGCAUAUUUCCAACAGUCUCCCACUUGCACUACAGUCAAUAAUCUAGUUCACAUCGCCAUGUGAUUAACACUCACAGGUCACAUCGCCAUGUGACUAAUACCCAAGAGUUUACUAGAGUCAGUAGUCUAGUUCACAUCACUAUGUGAUUAACACUCAAUGAGUUUUAUGUUUGAUCAUGUUGCUUGUGAGAGAGGUUUUAGUCAACGGGUCUGAACCUUUCAGAUCCGUGUGUGCUUUACAAAUCUCUAUGUCAUCUCCUAGAUGUAGCUACCACGCUCUAUUUGGAGCUAUUCCAAACAACUGUUCUACUUGGAGCUAUUCUAAAUUAUUGCUCCAUUAUAUGUAUCCGGUCUCUCUACUCAGAGCUAUCCGGAUAGGUGUCAAGCUUGCAUCGUCGUAACCUUUACGACGAACUCUUUUACCACCUCCAUAAUCGAGAAAAUUCCUUAGUCCACUAGUUACUAAGGAUAACUUUGACCGCUGUCCUGUGAGCCAUUCUUGGAUCACUCUUGUACCCCUUGACUGACUCAUGGCAAGGCACACUUCAGGUGCGGUACACAGCAUAGCAUACUGAAGAUCCUACGUCUUAAGCAUAGGGGACGACCUUCGUCCUUUCUCUCUAUUCUGCCGUGGUCGAGCUUUAAGUCUUAACUUCGUACCUUACAACUCAGGCAAGAACUCCUUCUUUGACUGGUCCAUCUUGAACACCUUCAAGAUCAUGUCAAGGUAUGUGCUCAUUUGAAAGUAUUAUUAAGCAUUUUGAUCUAUCCUUAUAGAUCUUGAUGCUCAAUGUUCAAGUAGCUUAAUCCAGGCUUUCCAUUGAAAAACACUUUCAAAAUAACCCUAUAUGCUUUCCAGAAAUUCUACGUCAUUUCUGAUCAACAAUAUGUCAACAACAUAUACUCAUCAGAAAUUCUAUAGUGCUCCCACUCACUUCUUUGGAAAUACAAGUUUCUCAUAAACUUUGUACAAACCCAAAUUUUUUGAUCAUCAUCAAAGCAUACAUUCCAACUCCGAGAUGCUCACUCCAGUCCUUAGAAGGAUUGCUGGAGCUUUGCAUACUUAUUAGCAUCUUUCGGGAUUGACAAAACCUUCUGGUUGUAUCACAUACAACCUUUCCUCAUUAAAAUCGUCGAGGAAACAAUGUUUUGACAUCCUAUCUGCAAGAUUUCAUAAAUAAUGCAGUAAUCGCUAAUAUAAUUCCAACAGACUCUUAGCAUCGCUACGAGUGAGAAAAUCUCAUCGUAGUCAACUCCUUGAACUUGUCGGAAAACAUCUUAACGACAAGUCGAGCUUUCUUAAUGGUGACAUUUACCAUCAUUGUCCGUCUUCCUUUUGAAAUCCAUCUGUACUCAUUAGCCUUACGACCAUCGAGCCGUUCUGCCAAAGUCUACACUUUGUUUUCAUACAUGGAUCCUCUCUCGGAUUUUAUGGCCUCAAGCCAUUUAUCGGAAUCUGGGCCCACCAUCGCUUCUCCAUAGCUCGUAGGUUCAUUGUUGUCUAGCAACAUGACCUUCAAGACAGGAUUACGUACCACUCUGAAGUAGUACGCAUCCUUGUCAUCCUACGAGGUUUAGGAGUGACUUGAUCCGAAGUUUCAUGAUCAAUAUCAUAAGCUUCCACUUCAAUUGGUGUAGGUGCCACAGGAACAACUCCCUGUGCCCUGUCACACACUAGUUGAAGAGACGGUUCAAUAACCUCAUCAAGUCUCCACCAUCCUCCCACUCAAUUCUUUCGAGAGAAACUUUUCCUCGAGAAAGGACCCGAUUCUAGAAACAAUCCAUAUUGCUUUCGGAUCUGAAUUAGGAGGUAUACCCAACUGUUUUGGGUUUCCUAUGAAGAUGCAUUUUAUCCGCUUUGGGUUCGAGCUUAUCAACCUGAAACUUUUUCAUAUAAGCGUCGCAGCCCCAAACUUUUAAGAAACGACAACUUAGGUUUCUCUAAACCAUAAUUCAUACAGUGUCAUCUCAUCGGAAUUACGUGGUGCCCUAUUUAAAGUGAAUGUGGUUGUCUCUUUUGCCUAACCCAUGAACGAUAGUGGUAAUUCGAUAAGAGACAUCAUGGUACGCACCAUAUCCAAUAGGGUGCAACUAUGAUGUUCAGACACACCAUCACAUUAUGGUGUUCCAGGCGGUAUUAAUUGCGAAACAAUUUCCACAAUGUCUUAAUUGUGUGCCAAAACUCGUAACUCAGAUAUUCAUCUCUAUGAUCAUAUCAUAGACAUUUUAUCCUCUUGUCACAAUGAUCUGCUACUUCACUCUGAAAUUACUUGAACCAUUCAAUAAUUCAGACUUGUGUUUCAUCAAGUAAAUAUACUCAACAUUUGCUCGAAUCAUCUGUGAAGUAAGAACAUAAUGAUAUUCACUGCAUGCCUCAGCACUCAUUCGACUGCACACAUCAAAAUGUUUUACUUCCAACAAGUUGCUAUCUUGUUCCAUCUUACUGAAAAUGAGGCUUUUCAGUCAUCUUGCCCAUGUGGUAUGAUUUGCAUAUCUCAAGUGAUUCAAAAUCAAGUGAGUCCGAACGAUCCAUUUGCAUGGAGUUUCUUCAUGCAUAUACACCAAUAGACAUGGUUCGCAUGUCUCAAACUUUUUAAAAAUGAGUGAGUCCAAAGAUCCAUCAACAUGGAGCUUCUUCAUGCGUUUUAUACCAUUAUGACUUACAUGGCAGUGCCACAAGUAAGUGGUACUAUCAUUACUAUCUUAUAUCUUUUGGCAUGAAAAUGUGUAUCACUACGACCGAGAUUCAAUAAACCAUUCCUUUAGGUGCAAGACCAUUGAAGGUAUUAUUCAAAAAUAGAGUAACCAUUAUUCUCCUUAAAUGAAUAACCGUAUUGCGAUAGACAUAAUCCAAUCAUGUCUAUGCUCAACGCAAACACCAAUCUCGGUGGUAGAGGGAGCGUGCGAUGCUUGAUCAUAUCAACCUUGGAAACACUUCCAACAUAUAUCGUCAGCUCACCUUUAGCUAGUCUCCGUUUAUUCCGUAGCUUUUAUUUCGAGUUACUAACACUUAGCAACCGAACCGGUAUCCAAUCCCCUGGUGCUACUAGGAGUACUAGUAAAGUACACAUUAACAUAAUGUAUAUCCAAUAUACUUCUAUCGACCUUGCCAGCCUUCUCAUCUACCAAGUAUCUAGGGUAAUGCUGCUCCAGUGGUUGUUCCCCUUAUUACAGAAGCACUUAGUCUCGGGUUUGGGUUCAACCUUGGGUUUCUUCACUAGAGCAGCAGCUGAAUUGCCAUUUCAUGAAGUAUCCCUUUGUUCCCUUGCCCUUCUUGAAACUAGUGGUUUCACCAACCAUCAACAAUUGAUGCUCCUUCUUGAUUUCUACUUUUGCGGUGUCAAACAUCAUGAAUAUUUCAAGGAUCAUCAUAUCUAUCCCUGAUAUGUUAUAGUUAAUCACGAAGCUCUAGCAGCUUGGUGGCAAUGACUUUGGGGAAACAUCACUAUCUCAUCUGGAGGAUCAACUCCCACUCGAUUCAAGUGAUUGUUGUGCUCAGACAAUCUGAGCACAAGCUCAACGAUUGAGCUUUUCUCCCUUAGUUUGUAGGCUAAGAAAAUCGUCGGAGGUCUUAUACCUCUUGACGUGGGCACGAGCCUGAAAUCCCAAUUUCAGCCCUCGAAACAUCUCAUAUGUUCCGCGACGUUUCGAAAACGUCUUUGGUGCCUCUACUUAAACCAUUUAAUUGAACUAUCACGUAGUUAUCAAAACUUGUAUGUCCGAUGUUCGCAACAUCGACAAACGACGUUGGGGUUCAGCACACUGAGCGGUGCAUUAAGGACAUAAGCUUUCUACUGAUCGCAUAAUCGCUACUAUCAACUUUCAACUAUAUUUUCUCUAGGAACAUAUCUAAACAGUGGAACUAAAGCGCGAGCUUACGACAUAAUUUGCAAAAGGUCUUUUGACUAUGUUCAGGAUAAUUAAGUUCAUCUUAUGAACUCCCACUUAGAUAGACAUCCCUCUGGUCAUCUAAGUGAUCACAUGAUCCGAGUCAACUAGGCCGUGUUCGAUCAUCACGUGAGACGGACUAGUCAUCAUCGGUGAACAUCUUCAUGUUGAUCGUAUCUACCAUACGACUCAUGCUCGACCUUUCGGUCUCCGUGUUCCGAGGCCAUGUCUGCACAUGCUAGGCUCGUCAAGUUAACCCUAAGUGUUUUCGCUGUGUAAAACUGUCUUACACCCGUUGUAUGUGAACGUAAGAAUCCAUCACACCCGAUCAUCACGUGGUGCUUAGAAGCGACGAACUGUAGCAACGGUGCACAGUUAGGGGAGAACACUUCUUGAAAUUUUGUAAGGGAUCAUCUUAUUUACUACCGUCGUCCUAAGCAAACAAGAUGCAUAAACAUGAUAAACAUCACAUGCAAUCAAAUAGUGACAUGAUAUGGCCAAUAUCAUUUUGCUCCUUUUGAUCUUCAUCUUCGGGGCUCCAUGAUCAUCAUCGUCACCAGCACGACACCACGAUCUCCAUCAUCAUGAUCUCCAUCAUCGUGUCUUCAUGAAUUUGUCACACCAACGACUACUUCUACUUCUAUGACUAACGCGUUUAGCAAUAAAGUAAAGUAGUUUACAUGGCGUUCUUCAAUGACACGCAGGUCAUACAAUAAAUAAAGACAACUCCUAUGGCUCCUGCCGGUUGUCAUACUCAUCGACAUGCAAGUCGUGAAUCCUAUUACAAGAACAUGAUCAAUCUCAUACAUCACAUAUCAUUCAUCACAUUCUUCUUGGCCAUAUCACAUCACAUAGCAUACCCUGCAAAAACAAGUUAGACGUCCUCUAAUUGUUGUUGCAUGUUUUACGUGGCUGCUAUGGGUUUCUAGCAAGAACGUUUCUUACCUACGCAAGACCACAACGUGAUAUGCCAAUUGCUAUUUACCCUUCAUAAGGACCCUUUUCAUCGAAUUCGUUCCGACUAAAGUGGGAGAGACUGGCACCCGCUAGCCACCUUAUGCACCAAGUGCAUGUCAAUCGGUGGAACCUGUCUCACGUAAGAGUACGUGUAAGGUCGGUCCGGGCCGCUUCAUCCCACAAUACCGUUGAAACAAGAUUGGACUAGUAACGGUAAGCAUAUUGAACAACAUCAACGCCCACAACUACUUUGUGUUCUACUCGUGCAAAGAAUCUACGCAAUAGACCUAGCUCAUGAUGCCACUGUUGGGGAACGUAGCAGAAAUUCAAAAUUUUCCUACGUGUCACCAAGAUCUAUCUAUGGAGAGACCAGCAACGAGUAGAAAGAGAGUGCAUCUACAUACCCUUGUAGAUCGCUAAGUGGAAGCGUUCAAGUGAACGGGGUUGAUGGAGUCGUACUCGUCAUGAUUCAAAUCACCGAUGAUCCUAGUGCCGAACGGACGGCACCUCCGCGUUCAACACACGUACAGCCCGGUGACGUCUCCCACGCCUUGAUCCAGCAAGGAGAGAGGGAGAGGUUGAGGAAGACUCCAUCCAACAGCAGCACAACGGCGUGGUGGUGGUGGAGGAGCGUGGCAAUCCAGCAGGGCUUCGCCAAGCACCAUGGGAGAGGAGGAGUAGGGAGAGAGGUAGGGCUGUGCCAGAACUUCGUGUAUAGCUCCCAUGCGCCUCCCCACUAUAUAUAGGGGUGGAGGGGCUGGUUUCUUGCCCUCCAAGUCCAUUGGGGCGUUGGCCAAGGUGGGAGGAAAGAAAUCUCAUUAUUUCCUUCCCCACCGAUUGUUAUCCCCCCUUUUUAGGGAUCUUGAUCUUAUCCCUUCGGGAUAUGAUCUUAUUCCUUCUAAGGGGGGAUCUUGGUGCGCCUUGACCAGGGGUGUGGGGCCUUGCCCCCACUACCCACGUCCAUGUGGGUCCCCCAUGCAGGUGGGCCCCACUCCGGAACCUUCUAGAACCUUCCCGGUACAAUACCGAAAAAUCCCGAACAUUUUCCGGUGGCCAAAAUAGGACUUCCCAUAUAUAAAUCUUUACCUCCGGACCAUUCUGGAACUCCUCGUGACGUCCGGGAUCUCAUCCGGGACUCCGAACAACAUUAGGUAACCACAUACAAACUUCCUUUAUAACCCUAGCGUCAUCGAACCUUAAGUGUGUAGACCCUACGGGUUCGGGAGACAUGUAGACAUGGCCGAGACGUUCUCCGGUCAAUAACCAACAGCGGGAUCUGGAUACCCAUGAUGGCUCCCACAUGUUCCACGAUGAUCUCAUCGGAUGAACCACGAUGUCAAGGACUUAAUCAAUCCCGUAUUCAAUUCCCUUUGUCUAUCGGUAUGUUACUUGCCCGAGAUUCGAUCGUCGGUAUCCAAUACCUUGUUCAAUCUCGUUACCGGCAAGUCACUUUACUCGUUCCGUAACACAUCAUCCCGUGAUCAACUCCUUGGUCACAUUGCGCAUAUGAUGAUGUCCUACCGAGUGGGCCCAGAGAUACCUCUCCGUUUACACGGAGUGACAAAUCCCAGUCUCGAUCCGCAUAAAACAAUAGAUACUUUCGGAGAUACCUGUAGUGCACCUUUAUAGUCACCCAGUUACGUUGUGACUUUUGAUACACCCAAAGCACUCCUACGGUAUCCAGGAGUUACACGCUCUCAUGGUCGAAGGAAGAGAUACUUGACAUUGGCAAAGCUCUAGCAAAUGAACUACACGAUCUUUUGUGCUAGUCUUAGGAUUGGGUCUUGUCCAUCACAUCAUUCUCCUAAUGAUGUGAUCCCGUUAUCAACGACAUCCAAUGUCCAUAGCCAGGAAACCAUGACUAUCUGUUGAUCACAACGAGCUAGUCAACUAGAGGCUCACUAGGGACAUAUUGUGGUCUAUGUAUUCACACGUGUAUUACGAUUUCCGGAUAAUACAGUUAUAGCAUGAAUAAAAGACAAUUAUCAUGAACAAGGAAAUAUAAUAAUAAUACUUUUAUUAUUGCCUCUAGGGCAUAUUUCCAACAGCGCGUUUGGCCAAUUUGGCCGAACGCACUCGACUGGAGAAUCUUCAGCGAGCACUCGACGAGCGCGCGCGGCAACGAGUUCCCGACACCAGUCGACGUCAACUCUUCCCGCCAACUCAGGUAUAUCGAACCCCAGUCCAGAAUUUAGCAGCUGCGACCCGUAUUGCAGAGUCCAUCCAGCCCUCUCAGUCGGAAGCUGGCAGAGGCUUGAUGCAGAUCAGGGAUCUGCUCCGGGCAGCAGGCGAUCAGAAUUCGGCCGUAUCGCAGUCGCGCAACAGAAUUCACAGUCCAUCCGUCGCUGCGAAUACUGUUCAGUCGGCUCAUAGCCCCAGAUCGCCUCCGCGGCGUGAAGGGCGCGAGAAUCGGCGAGACCAAUAUGGAGACCGACACGACCGAGAUGAUAGGCGUCGAGUGCCCAAUUCCCCUCCGAGGGGUGGGUCUUACGCUCCUCGGCAGCAAGAUGACAGACGUCCGCUUAGUGCGGGGCGAGGAGUUCCAGUCGACCCUAGAGAACCAGGCUUCGACGCGCGAUCCAUUAUCGUGCAAGUCUUGGUCGACCGGAACAGAGCCCAUCGAGGUGGACUCGACAGAGAUGCGCCCACGAGCAGUCGAGUGCAUGUUUCUGGUCCUGAAUGUUUCAGCAGAGCUAUCAGAGCCACAGUGAUCCCUCCCAAUUUCAGGUUGGCAACAGGAGUCAGCAAGUUCACUGGUGAGUCUAAGCCUGAAACUUGGCUUGAGGACUACCGAGUGGCGGUUCAGAUUGGUGGUGGGAACGACGAGGUGGCCAUGAAGCAUUUGCCCCUCAUGCUGGAAGGUUCUGCCAGGGCAUGGUUGACUCAAUUACCUCCUAGCAGCAUUUACACUUGGGAAGAUCUGUCCCGAGUGUUCAUCGGAACGUUUGAAGGAACUUGCAAGCGACCGGCUGGAUUGACGGAGCUGCAAGUCUGCAUGUAGAAGACCAAUGAGACCCUCAGGGAGUAUAUUCAGAGAUGGAUCACUUUGCACCAUACUGUGGAGAAUGUGUCUGAUCAUCAGGCAGUCUGCGCCUUUAAGGAUGGUGUCAAGAACAGAGAAUUGAGUUUGAAAUUUGGUCGAACCGGUGACAUGACCUUGAGUCGGAUGAUGGAGAUUGCUACCAAGUACGCCAACGGUGAAGAAGAAGACCGACUCCGAAGCGGCAAGCACAAGCCGAGUCAGUCGGAAAAGGGAAACACCAGUCGGAAACAGAAGCGGAAGGCUGAACCGGCAGCUCCUGGGGAGGCUCUGGCCGUGACUCAGGGAAAGUUUAAAGGGAAAACAAAAGGAUCCUGGAACCCUAAGAAGGUAAAGGAUAAAGAAGGGAACGACGUGAUGGAUAUGUCGUGUCACAUCCACACGAAGAAAGACGAAGAGGGGAAUAUCAUCUACCCGAAGCAUACCACUCGCCAAUGUCGACUCCUGAUCCAGCAGUUUCAGGGAAAACAGUCUAAAGACAAGGAGAAGGAGUCGGACAAGGCCGAAGACAAGGAGGACAGUGAGGAAGGAUAUCCGCAUAUCAACUCCACUCUGAUGAUCUUUGCAGAUGUGGAAAGCAAGAGUCGAUUGAAAGUUAUUAACCGUGAGGUGAACAUGGUUGCCCCAACAAAAACAAAUUAUCUGAGAUGGUCCCAAACACCCAUCACAUUCGACCAAUCUGAUCACCCGACUCAUAUUGCCACCCCUGGGAGGCAAGCUUUGGUGGUCGAUCCAGUUGUCGAAGGCACUCGACUGACAAAAGUGCUGAUGGACGGUGGUAGUGGGCUGAAUUUGUUGUAUGCAGACACACUGAAAGGAAUGGGCAUUCCGAUGUCCCGACUGAGCACCAGUAACAUGAGCUUUCAUGGAGUUAUACCAGGGAAGAAAGCCGAGUCACUCGGCCAAAUAGCUCUGGACGUGGUGUUUGGUGAUUCGAAACAUUUUCGCAAAGAGAAGUUGACGUUUGAGGUCGUGGAUUUUCAGAGUGCAUAUCAUGCCAUUUUGGGGAGACCAGCUUAUGCACGGUUCAUGGCUCGACCAUGUUACGUGUACCUCAAAUUGAAGAUGCCCGACCCCAAAGGAGUGAUCACUGUCACCGGUGAUCGGAAAAAGGCAGAAGAGUGCUUUCAGAAGGGCUCAAAGAUUGCUGAUUCCCAGGUGACAGCGGUCGAGUUCGAAGAAUACAAGCAAAACGCAGAUCCGAGUGACUUGCUGCGAUCCAAGAAACCCGCCACAGAAUCUGCAUUUCAGUCGUCCGGUGAGACGAAGCCUGUUCACAUUCACCCGACCGACCCCGAUGCAGCUCCGACCCACAUCUCCACGACACUCGACCCGAAAUAGGAAGAAGCGCUCAUCCAGUUCCUCCGUGAGAACUGGGACAUUUUUGCAUGGAAGCCCGCUGACAUGCCAGGUGUUCCCAGGGGACUGGCUGAGCAUCGCCUAAGAGUCGACUCAUCUGCAAAACCAGUCAAAGAGCAUCUUCGGCGGUCCGCCGUCCAGAAGAGAAAAGCCAUUGGUGAGGAAGUGGCUCGACUGUUGGCGGCAGGAUUUAUCCGAGAGAUAUACCACUCCGAGUGGCUCGCUAAUGUCGUCAUGGUUCCUAAGAAGGACAAAUCACUCCGAAUGGGCAUUGAUUUCAAGCACAUCAACCGGGCCUGCCCAAAAGAUCAUUUUCCUCUCCCUCGCAUAGAUCAAAUUGUUGACUCGACCGCGGGAUGCGAGAGAUUGUCUUUUCUAGACGCCUACUCCGGGUACCACCAGAUCCGUUUGUACGGACCCGACGAGGUAAAAACAGCUUUCAUCACUCCAUUCGGGUGCUUCUGCUAUAUCACCAUGCCAUUCGGCCUCAAGAAUGCCGGAGCCACAUUUAUGUGAAUGAUUCAGAAGUGUCUACUCACUCAAAUCAGUCGGAAUGUGGAAGUGUAUAUGGAUGAUAUCAUCGUCAAGUCACGAAAAGGUUCCGACCUGCUCGCUGACCUCGCCGAAACAUUUGCCAACCUCAGAAGGUAUGAUAUCAAGCUCAAUCCAUCAAAGUGCACAUUCGGAGUUCCUGGUGGCAAGUUACUCGGUUUUCUCGUUUCCGAGCGAGGGAUCGACGCUAAUCCAGAGAAGAUCGGCACUAUUCUCCGAAUGAAACGCCCUGUGCGAGUGCACGAUGUCCAGAAGCUUACUGGAUGCUUGGCCGCAUUAAGUCGAUUCAUCUCACGACUCGGUGAAAAGGCAUUGCCUCUUUAUCAACUGAUGAAGAAGGCAGACAAGUUCGAGUGGACUCCAGAAGCUGAUGCAGCGUUUGCCGAGCUAAAAGCUCUGCUCUCCACCCAGCCGGUGCUUGCUGCUCCAAUCAGCAAAGAACCUUUGUUGCUUUAUGUCGCAACCACAGGACAAGUCGUCAGUACUGUGCUUACGGUCGAGCGGGAAGAAGAAGGAAAAGCUUUCAAAGUUCAGCGCCCAGUGUAUUAUUUGUCUGAAGUCUUGACUCCAUCCAAGCAAAGAUAUCCUCAUUAUCAGAAGCUUGUGUAUGGAAUAUACAUGACCACAAAGAAGGUUGCUCAUUAUUUCUCUGAUCAUUCCAUCACAGUCGUCAGCGACGCUCCACUAUCAGAGAUCUUGCACAACAGAGAUGCAACUGGUCGAGUGGCUAAAUGGGCGAUUGAACUUCUUCCCCUUGAUAUCAAGUUUGAGGCAAAGAAAGCCAUUAAGUCCCAGGCAAUAGCAGAUUUCCUUGCCGAGUGGAUUGAACAGCAGCAGCCGACUGAAGUUCACUCGGAGCAUUGGACCAUGUUCUUUGAUGGCUCUAAGAUGUUGAAUGGUUCCGGUGCUGGGGUUGUCCUGGUUUCUCCCAGAGGAGAUAAGCUCAGAUAUGUGCUCCAGAUUCACUUUGAUUCCUCCAACAAUGAGGCAGAAUAUGAGGCCCUCUUAUACGGAUUGCGCAUGGCCAUUUCACUCGGCGUCCGUCGCCUGAUGGUCUAUGGCGACUCGGAUUUAGUGGUCAACCAAGUGAUGAAGGAGUGGGACGUGAGAAGCCCAGCCAUGACUGGAUACUGCAGUGCAGUGAGGAAGCUGGAAAAGAAGUUCGAGGGGUUGGAGCUCCAUCAUAUACCCCGAUUGAAAAAUCAAGCAGCUGAUGAUCUAGCAAAGAUAGGUUCCAAGAGAGAAGCCAUUCCGAGUGGUGUGUUCUUGGAGCAUAUACACACUCCGUCAGUCAAAGAAGAUCCUUUCACCGAAGAAGCUCCACAGCCCAAGAGUGCCACAGAUCCGACUGAGGUUGAAGUCCCAGCAGUGGUCGACUUAGUCAUAGAGGUCUUGGUGGCCAUUCCCGACUGGACAGUUCCAUAUAUCGCGUAUAUCCUGAGAAAAGAGCUCCCGGAGGAUGAGGAAGAGGCUCGACAGAUCGUCCGUCGAUCUAAAGCUUUUACUGUAAUCAAAGGACAGUUAUACAGAGAAAGCGCGACUGGAGUUGGUCAGAAGUGCAUAACACCAGAAGAAGGUCGAAUCAUCCUUAAUGAUAUCCACUCGGGAACCUGUGGUCAUCAUGCGUCCUCUCGGACCAUCGUGGCCAAAGCAUACCGAGCCGGAUUUUACUGGCCAAAGGCGAAUGAGAUGGCAAAGGAAAUAGUGGAUAAGUGCGAAGGAUGUCAGUUCUACUCGAAUAUGUCACACAAGCCUGCAUCAGCUCUGAAGACCAUUCCACUCGUCUGGCCUUUCGCAGUAUGGGGGUUGGACAUGGUCGAUCCUUUGAGAACAGGUCGAAGUGGCUUCACGCAUGUACUGGUGGCAGUCGACAAGUUCACCAAGUGGAUUGAGGCUAAACCAAUCAAGAACCUUGACACCGGUGCUGCUGUUAGCUUCAUCAGGGAACUGAUAUUCAGAUAUGGAGUCCCGCACAGCAUCAUUACGGAUAAUGGGUCGAACUUUGACUCGGAGGAAUUCAGAGAUUUCUGUAACUCUCAAGGCACACGAGUCGACUACGCUUCAGUCGCCCAUCCGCAGUCGAAUGGACAAGCAGAGCGAGCCAAUGGCCUGAUUCUCAAGGGAUUGAAACCCCGACUGAUGCGUGAUCUCAAGCAUGCAGCUGGAGCUUGGGUCGACGAACUUCCCUUGGUGCUUUGGGGACUGCGGACCACACCUAAUCGGUCGACCGGAAGAACUCCAUUCUUCUUGGUCUACGGAGCUGAAGCAGUCUUGCCGAGUGAUCUUCUCCACAAUGCUCCUCGAGUUGAAAUCUACAACGAAGCAGAAGCUGAACAAGCGCGGCAGGACGCAGUCGACCUUUUAGAGGAAGAAAGGGAGAUGGCUCUGAUCCGGUCGACCAUCUACCAACAAGAUUUGCGUCGUUUCCACGCCAGAAAUGUGAGGGGUCGAGCCUUCCAGGAAGGAGAUUUAGUUCUCCGAGUGGAUCAAAAGAAACAACACAAGCUUGCUCCUUCUUGGGAAGGACCCUUCAUCGUUACCAAAGUUCUCCACAACGGGGCGUACCGUCUUUACAACGUCGAACAUAAUAUCGACGAGCCCCGAGCUUGGAAUGCGGAACUACUCCGCCCAUUUUACACUUAAGUUUAAUCACUCGGAUGAGUUGCAAUAAAGUACUUCUGUAGUUCAUGGGUCUCAAAAUAACAGUGUCAUAGUUCCUCCAUAAUUUUUGUCACUUUUUAUUUUGUCCAAUAAAAUUUUCCCCUCAGUGGGUGACUUAGCCGCGAAUCCGUUUCGCCUAAGUUUGUAAAAAUCCUACCGAGUGGUGAGCCAGACUCCCACUCAGAGGCUUAGCCGCGAAUCCGUUUCGCCUAAGUUUGUAAAAAUCCUACCGAGUGGUGAGCCAGACUCCCACUCAGAGGCUUAGUUGCGAAUCCGUUUCGCCUAAGAUUAAAUAAAAUCCUACCGAGUGGUAAGCCAGACUUCCACUCGGAGGCUUAGCUGCGAAUCCGUUUCGCCUAAGAUUAAAUAAAAUCCUACCGAGUGGUAAGCCAGACUUUCACUCGGAGGCUUAGCUGCAGUCCAAGUACUCGUCUAAGAUAUAAAAAUCCUACCGAGUGAAGAGCAAACCUCUCACUCGGGGGCUUAGCUGCAGCCCAGUGCUCGCCUAAGAUAUAAAAAUCCUACCGAGUGAAGAGCAAACCUCUCACUCGGGGGCUUAGCUGCAGUCCAAGUACUCGCCUAAGAUAUAAAAAUCCUACCGAGUGAAGAGCAAACCUCUCACACGGGGGCUUAGCUGCAGUCCAAGUACUCGCCUAAGAUAUAAAAAUCCUACCGAGUGAAGAGCAAACCUCUCACUCGGGGGCUUAGCUGCAGUCCANNNNNNNNNNNNNNNNNNNNNNNNNNNNNNNNNNNNNNNNNNNNNNNNNNNNNNNNNNNNNNNNNNNNNNNNNNNNNNNNNNNNNNNNNNNNNNNNNNNNNNNNNNNNNNNNNNNNNNNNNNNUCCUACCGAGUGGUAAGCCAGACUUCCACUCGGAGGCUUAGCUGCAGUCCAAGUACUCGCCUAAGUUAUAAAAUUCCUACCGAGUGGUAAGCCAGACAUCCACUCGGAGGCUUAGCUGCAGCCCAGUGCUCGCCUAAGAUAUAAAAAUCCUACCGAGUGAAGAGCAAACCUCUCACUUGGGGGCUUAGCUGCAGCCCAGUGCUCGCCUAAGAUAUAAAAAUCCUACCGAGUGAAGAGCAAACCUCUCACUCGGGGGCUUAGCUGCAGCCCAGUGCUCGCCUAAGAUAUAAAAAUCCUACCGAGUGAAGAGCAAACCUCUCACUCAGGGGCUUAGCUGCAGCCCNNNNNNNNNNNNNNNNNNNNNNNNNNNNNNNNNNNNNNNNNNNNNNNNNNNNNNNNNNNNNNNNNNNNNNNNNNNNNNNNNNNNNNNNNNNNNNNNNNNNNNNNNNNNNNNNNNNNNNNNNNNNNNNNNNNNNNNNNNNNNNNNNNNNNNNNNNNNNNNNNNNNNNNNNNNNNNNNNNNNNNNNNNNNNNNNNNNNNNNNNNNNNNNNNNNNNNNNNNNCGCCUAAGAUAUAAAAAUCCUACCGAGUGAAGAGCAAACCUCUCACUCGGGGGCUUAGCUGCAGCCCAGUGCUCGCCUAAGAUAUAAAAAUCCUACCGAGUGAAGAGAAAACCUCUCACUCGGGGGCUUAGCUGCAGUCCAAGUACUCGCCUAAGUUAUGAAAAUCAUACCGAUUGAAGAGCAAACCUCUCACUCGAGGGCUUAGCUGCAGCCCAGUGCUCGCCUAAGUGGAUUAAGGAAUAAGUCGACUGCAGUGAGUGUCUUGCUUUGAGCCUGCAAAAGACAUUUCGAGCCAAAAGCAAUCAUAUUCAAACACCAAGUUCAAGUUGGGAUCGAUUCCAAAAGGAACCGAAAGUGCUCAGGCACUAAGCCUGUUAAAGUUUAUCGGUUACAACUCCACUCGGCAUACCGAGGAAAAUUUAAAGCGUCAAGCUUAGAAGAAGUUUUUUACCCCUCCUGUGGAGGGCUGGAAGGUGCAACAAACUCAUCAAGAUCAAUUCCAUCUGCGAUCUGAGUGGCAGCAGCAAGGAAAGUUUCCAUAAAGGACCUGAAGUCGUGUUUCUUGGUGUUGGCCACCCGGAGGGCCGCCAGCUUGUCUUCUCGCGCAUCUUUGCAGUGGACUCAGGCCAGACACAGAGCAACAUCUGCACCGCACCGAGCCGAGGACUUUUUCCACUCCUGCACUCGACCAGGGACUGUGUUCAAGCGGGCCAUCAGCGACUCGAGGUCGUUCUGGAGUGUCUCCCCAGGCCAGAGCGUCGAGUCGAUGCGAGAUGUGGCGACCUUCAGCCUUGCAAGAUAGUCCACGACAGCUGCAACACGGGACUCUAGUCGGAAAACAUUCAUGGCAACUUCGUCGUUCACCGGAGAAUUGACGGGGUCAAGGUUUGGUUCCAGCCGGCUAGUUUCUUCUUCAAAGUUUUGACAAAAUUCUGCAAGGACGACCACCGAGUCAAGGCAAUGGUCGAAUGGAAAAACCACGGUUGGAAAUGAUUGCCAAGCAUAGAGAUUUACCUUCAAGCAUAAGAAACAGCUUCUUGGCAAGACCAUUCAGGAAGACCUCCAGAUCUUUUUUCUUCCCAAGAGCAGCUUUCAGAUUGGUAUUUUCUUGCUCAAGCUUUGCGACUGAAGCUAACUUCUCGUCGACAAGCUUGAUCUUCUCAGCUAGUUCAAGGUCUUUCUUCCGUUGGGCCUCCCUCACCUUACCUGCAAGUUACAGCAAGAUCAGAUUUUGAAACAAAUGAAGGGAAAAAGCAGUCGUCAAGGUCUCACCAAACAUACCUUCGGUCUCCUCCUUUGCCUUCGUCAGAUUCUCCUGAACCAGUUUCAAAUUCAGCUCGAGCUGAAUGUGCUUGUUUUCCAGCUCAGAGUAGCGAGCCACAAGAUCACAGGAGUUCUGCGAAGAACCAAUCAACUAAAUGUCAAAUAUAGUUCACUUCCGAGUGAAAAAGGAAAAAUCACACGUUUCUAAGACUACAGCCGAAUACAAGCAUUCGACCGUAGUCUCGGGGACUACACCCAGUGGGUGCACUCAGCGUGCCCCCACUAAUCCUAUUGAAGAUAAAGUCGACCAGUCGACCUCAAAAAAGAGAUAUAUUCUUUAAGACUGUAAUCGACUGCCAGCAGUCGACCACAGUCUCGGGGACUACACCCAGUGGGUGCACUCAGCGUGCCCCCACUGGUUUGCGAAAUCCAUUCGACAUAGUCGAAUGACGGAAAGACUGAACUUAUGAAGCCUAAGACCGACUGCCAGCAGUCGACCUUAGCCUUGGAGACAGAGUCGACCAGUCGACCGGUUUGCGAAAUCCAGUCGCCAUAGUCGAAUGACGGAAAGACUGAAAUUAUAAAGCCUAAGGCCGACUGCCAGCAGUCGACCUUAGCCUUGGGGACUACACCCAGCGGGUGCACUCAGCGUGCCCCCGCUAACACGGAGUUUAACUCGACACACCCACUGGGUGACUACUAUAAAUUCUGGAAAGAAAAAGUUUUUGAUAGCAUAUCCUAACAGAACAAACGGUGGUCGACUGACCUGAACAUUGCUUUGGAGGGCGGAACUGGCGUCGUAAGCUGCCUGGCUCGCAUCCCGGAUGGUCUUCAACUGCUCCAUCAUGAUCCCUGCCUGGCGUAUCACCUCCUUCGCUGCGCCAGCUUGGUCCUCUGGGACGUGGUGCGUCGUGAAGAGGGAGGGCUGCGGAGCACUCGUCAGUGGAUCUGCGAAGGACACGGUGUAUCGAGUGGUGUUCUCCUCCUCCGCGACCAGAGUCUCAGGCACCGUCACAUCCUGGGUCACCCUGCUGGCAGACGCUUUCCUACUCCUUCUGUACUUCAGCGGUUCCUCAUCUUCAUCAUCAUCAGGGAGAGUGAUAACAACAUUGGAUGGAGCUACAGAAAAGAAUCAGGAUUAGAUCAUGAGUCAGUCGACUAAAGAUAGUGUUAAGAGUAUAGUACUAGGUUUUGAGGUUGCUGCGUCCUCCAUCUCAUGGUCGUCAGCCCGGGCCGAGGUCUCAGAAGUAGCAGCACUGCAACUCCAAAGAGUCAGUCGACUAACUCCAGCGCCAACCAGAGAUAAAGUUCACACAAAACAAGAAGACUUAAGCAACACGAUUACCCUGAUAUGGUGGGGAUAGACACCUACAUCUUCGGCAGGUGCUUGGUCGGCUUCGACGGGGCCGCCCUGGGCUGCUUCGACGCCUUUUCAGUCGGUGCCGGAGAGGUGGUCUGAGGGCGCUUGGUCGACUGUGUAACAGUCGCAACCCCCUCGCCGCGUUCGGUCGCAGGGUCAUGGACAAGUUUCGACCGCCUUUCCGAGCGCGGUGGUGCGACCUCCUCCUCCUCCUCCUCUUCCUCGUCCUCAUCGUCAUCAUCAUCAUCAUCGUCAUCAUCAUCAUCAGCCUCAGCGGCGUCUGAGUCCCACUCCUCCUCCUGGCUCUCGCCCCCGCCCGCUUCUCCCUCCUCGGUCGGAGCCUGUGCUCCAUUGGGCAUCGAGUACAGCUCAAUGAGGGCCUGAUAGACAUCAAGACAAAGAUCAGUCGACCGAUCAGCAGAGAAAACAGAAAUAAAUGUGACGAGAAUACAAUGGGAAGUGGAGCAGACAUACCUUGUUUGGAUCACUGUGGCAGUCGAGUGGAGGAAUCCUUCUGGCUCCGCGAGGGUUAUCUUUGUUCCCAGUAACAGCGGCCAUCCACCUUUCCAGAGUGGUAUCGUCGACUGUUUUCGGAUUGACCCGAGUCACAUCCUCAGUCCCGCAGUACAACCACAUGCAAUGGCUCCAGAAUUGAAGAGGCUGGAUUCGACGCCUAAGGAAAACUUCCAGGAGAUCCAUACCCGUCACUCCCUCCCGAACCAACUGAACUACGCACUCCAUCAGCAUCUUCAUGUCAGCUUUCUCCUCCGGAAUCAACUUCAGAGAGGAGGGCUUGUUCACUCGGUCCAUGGUAAAUUGAGGGAGUCCACUCGACUGCCCCGGCGUCGACUGAUCCUGGCAGUAGAACCAGGUCGACUGCCAGCCUCUGACUGACUCGGGAAAUGUCAUGGCUGGGAAGGUGCUCUUGUUCCUCACCUGGAUCCCCAGACCUCCACACAUUUGGACAACUCGGGUUCUUUCGUCGCCUGGGCUCGCCUUCUUCACGGUUUGAGAGCGACACGUGAAUAUGUGCUUGAACAAGCCCCAAUGCGGUCGACAGCCCAGAAAACUCUCACACAUAGACACAAACGCGGCAAGAUAGGCGAUAGAAUUCAGGGUGAAGUGGUGGAGUUGCGCUCCAAAGAAGUUCAAGAAACCACGGAAGAAAAUGCUCGGCGGCAAAGAGAAUCCGCGGUCGACAUGGGUAGCCAGAAGCACACACUCACCCUCUUCCGGCUGGGGCUGCCACUCUUUCCCCGGAAGCCUCGCAGCUCCAUGAGGGAUCAGGCCCUCGUUGGCCAUGUCGAGGAGAUCCUUCUCCGUGAUGGUCGACUGGAUCCAAUCUCCCUGGACCCAGCCUUUCGGCAGGCGAGAUCUAGACGAAGACCCGCCGCGGCUGGUAGAUCUCCCCUUCGCCUUCUCCGUCGCCGACGCCUUCUUCGCGCGCUCCAGUGCCGCCGUCUUCUCCUUGACCAUGGCUACCGGCGAGGCGCGUGAGGAGAAGUUGUGCGGAGGCGAGAGCGUGCGCGUUGGGCGGAGACGAAGGGAGCAGAGAGAGAAUGCUGAGGCACUGUUCAAAAAACCCUCGCCGGGCGCAUUUAUAAGAUCCCUUCCGAGUGGAUGACAGGUGGGCCCGGUCAAUCUAAUCAUAUCCUGUAACAGUUGCGCAAGCGUGAUACGUGGCGAAAAAAGCGGCGCGGGAAUCGAGGCGUCUAUGCCCCGUCCCAUCCGAGCGCCGCGGUCCGCUCCGCUUCGCGCGCUCCCCCAAAUUCCGUAUCCCGCGGAAUCCGCGGACGGCAGAUCAGUCUGCCAGACGCGGGAUUUCCUGCGAUCCGUCGCUCGGAAACCAGCGAAGUCCAAAAAGAUCACUCGACGAAGAAGAAGAAUGGAUCGAGUCGACUGAAGAAAAGUUGUUCACUAUCAACAGAGAGAAUUUUUUGGUUCAAAAACAACGCACAACCAGUAUGCAAAAGCUAAUCGGAAACAACAUCAACUCCUUCAUCACUCAAGCCUCAAUCCAUUCGGGGGCUAAUGAUGGAGUCACGUACCUAGGGUAGGGUCACAGACCUGAUCUAAGUACCCUGCCCGAGGACACCCUUAGAAGAGAUCACCUUCCAGUCGACCUAUGAGGGACUCACUCGACUGACUUGAAGGACUCGACCACGAAGACUCACUCGACCACCAGAAGGUCAAGAGGCACUCUGCACUACAACGGCCUGUAAUUAAGUAGACUUUAUGAUAGUAAAGACACUUUAUGUGGGGCGUUACCUGUAACGCCCCGGACUUAAUACACCUUAAACCCUUCAUUACGUGGGCUGGCUGGGGUCCUGGCGCACUCUAUAUAAGCCACCCCCCUCCACAGGCAGAAGGGUUCGGCACCUUGUAAUCCAUAUACACAUAAUCCACUCGACCGCCUCCGGGCUCCGAGACGUAGGGCUUUUACUUCCUCCGAGAAGGGCCUGAACUCGUACAUCUCUUGUGUUUACAACCUCUCCAUAGCUAGGACCUUGCCUCUCCAUACCUACCCCCCACUCUACUGUCAGACUUAGAACCACGACACUGUCACAACUUCUUGACUUUAUAAUUUAGUUUUGACAUUCACAUUACCAAUCUGUGUUACCCCAAUGAAAGCGUAUAUCACUAUAAACAAUAUUCCACGAAAGAGAAACCCAAUGUAGACAACAUUUGCCCAUGGAGUACAAAUAUUGACCUCAUUUAGUGGUAAUUAAUGUGUACUCCUAAACAGACGAUGAAGGCUAUGUUUCAGUUACCAAAAAGUGAAAAUAACAUAAGUAAGAAGCACAGUUGCAGUGAUUACAAUUUGGCAUGAACUUUCUCCAGUGGGACAGGCACAAUUUGCAGAGUGUGCUCAAACAAGAGGUAGUUAUUCAUCUCAUUAGCUACAAUCUUGGCCACCUGAUAUACCAAGAAUUAACUGUUGGUACUGCAACUCUCUCAGACGAGUACUAACUAGAAAGAGCACCAUGGGGACGCGGAGGGUUGGAUGGAAAUCUCACCAGGAUGAGGUCGAAGAUGAACCAGGAGGUGCCGAAGAGGAACAGGACAGGGACAACAGGAACGACAUGAACUCCAGCCCUCUUCGACCAACCUCUGCACAAGCACAACCACACGCAUGGCUCAUGACUCAGUAGUUAGCGCGUACACCAAACUGUUGACUGUGGAUUUCAGACAUGUGUGCGUGCGUACCGUGAAGACGGCGAUCCAUGAAGCUGAUCGAGACGUCGACGCAGGGCACGGCGAUGGCGCCAAGCCGCGAUGCCGCCGCCAAGGACGACGAGGGAGAGGACCCAGACCCCCGCUCGCAGUCGGUGGUGGUGACCAUGUCCACAACGACCUCCGUCUUGGGCCACGGGAUGAGCACGCCGUCCCGGACGGCGACCACCAGGUCCUUCCAGUGCUCAUUCCCGAGCGGCGCGCUGGACGGGGAAGGGGUGGAGGCAUCGGCGAGGAGCCAGCGGAGAUGGCGGUGGAGGUGCGGCGCCGAGGGCGGGACGAGCGCGGAGGCCCUGCGGCGGAGGGCGCCGACUGAGGCCUCCGGGACGGGCGGAGGAUGAGCGGCGGACGUCCUCCGGGAGGCAACAAGGAGCGGGUGGUGGCGCGCGGGCGCGGGCGUCGGGGUCGUAUCUGAAUCGGGAGGGAUGGGAUCGGCGGGGCGGCGGCGACGAUGUGGGAGACGAGGGGAGGGAUGCGGGAGAGGGAGCCCUAGGGUUCGUGGGGUGAGAGGGUGAGGGAGUUUUCUUUUUUCUUUUUCUUUUUUUUGAGACAAAGAUGGGGAGGGGCUGAGGGAGAAAGGGCUGUCGUUGGAUCCGAGAGCAUCCGACGGCGUUUGUGCACGAUCCGCGUGACAUGUCCAUGGACCAAUCAGAACCCAGUAGACGUUACGACCUUCUAAAUUGGUCGUAAUCGACUAAAAAUAAGGUGUUGAGCCAUAUUUUUUUCAAAAAAAGGUGUUGAAUCAUAUAAAAUUUUUUAUGAUAUGAGAAGUUCAAAAAGAAACAUUUCAUUGUGUCACCAAAUGUGACAUAGUUUUUAGGAAAACUAACAAACUUGGAAUUGGAAUAAGACAAAUAUCUUUUAAAAAUUGUUAUGAGAAAUGAGUUAUUAGGGGGGGUCAUUUUCUAUUUUCGGAGUGCCAAAAAUGUUACAGCACCACUUCAUUUUCCAAAACUAUAAGACAACAUUUUAUGUACAGUUGACCAAAAUCUUUAGAUGUAAAAUGCUUUCGAUCCACCUCUCAUCAAAAAGACAAAUUGUGUUUAAAAAAGCAUCUACCUCGACAUUCUUUUGUUUUUCUUCUACUUUUUCACAUGAAAAAUUCAAAGAAAUGAUCUUAUAUUGUGCACAAUGGUGCAUCUUGGAAUGACAAACAAUGUUACCUAAGAAUGUUUUCAUUUUCUUUGCACGGAAAAUUCAUUUUUCAUUUUUCGAGUGCCCGAAAAGAGGCUUUUUUGUGAAGGACCUGCCAAAUAUUUGUUGCAAAAUUGGACCAAAUCAUUUUUCUAAAAUACUAAGCCAUAUUUAAUGCACAAUUGACCAAAUGGUUGGGUGUAAAAAGUUUUGAUCCACCUCUCGUGAAAAGACAAAUUUCCGCCGAUUCAGCUGGAAGCGGGUCAAAUUUGAACUAUAGCUGCCUUGUAGUUUGCUCUUUAUUUUUUCCAAAAAUCAUUUCUAGGUACAUAAGUAUCUAUUUAAUCGGAGAAACACCAAAAACAUUUCAAGAUUCAACCACUAGCUACGAACGGUCAUUCCCGCCGUUUUGACCGCAUUUUGAAACGGGCAUAAAAAAUUCAAAAAAAUCAAAAAAUUAGGAAACCUUCGCAUUGUGUCAUUAUAUGUGGCCAAGUUCCCAGUAAAAAUAACAAACUUGUAAUACGGCAAUUAUUUUAAAAAAGUGUUCUCAGAAACGAGCUAUCACGUAUGGAGAUCAAUGGCUUUCAAGCCAAAUGACCAAUUUUAUGGCCACAUUCAUGGCAUAGUUUGUUCAAAUGAUCUUAUAUUGUGCACAAGGGUGCAUAUUGGAAUGGCAAACAAUGUUGCCUAAGGAAGUUUUCAUUUUCUUUGGAUGAAAAAACCAUUUUCCAUUUUUCGAGUGCCCAAAAGGAGGUUUUUUUGUGAAGGACCUCCCAAAUAUUUGUUGCAAAAUUGGACCAAAUCAUUUUUCUAAAAUACUAGGACAUAUUUAAUGCACAAUUGACCAAAUGUUUGGGUGUAAAAAGUUUUGAUCCACCCCUCGUGAAAAAGACAAAUUUCCGCUGAUUUAGUUGGAAGCGGGUCAAAUUUGAACUAUAGCUGCCUUGUAGUUUGCUCUUUAUUUUUUCCAAAAAUCAUUUCUAGGUACUUAAGUAUCUAUUUAAUCAGAGAAACACCAAAAAAAUUCCAAGAUUCAACCACUAGCUAGGAACGGUCAUUCCCGCCGUUUUGACCGCAUUUUGAAACGGGCAUAAAAAGUUCAAAAAAAAAUCAAAAAAUUCUGAAACCUUCGCAUUGUGUCAUUAUAUGUGGCCAAGUUCUUAGGAAAAAUAACAAACUUGUAAUACGACAAUUAUUUUAAAAAAGUAUUCUCAGAAACGAGCUAUCACGUAUGGAGAUCAAUGACUUUCAAGCCAAAUGAUCAAUCUUAUGGCCACAUUCAUGGCAUGGUUUGUUAAAAUGAUCUCAUAUUGUGCACAAGGGUGCAUAUUGGAAUGGCAAACAAUGUUGCCUAAGGAAGUUUUCAUUUUCUUUGGACGAAAAAACCAUUUUCCAUUUUUUGAGUGCCCAAAAGGAGGUUUUUUUGUGAAGAACCUCCCAAAUAAUUGUUGCCAAAUUGGACCAAAUCAUUUUUCUAAAAUACAAGGACAUAUUUAAUGCACAACUUACCAAAUGGUUGGAUGUAAAAAGUUUUGAUCCACCUCUCGUGAAAAAGACAAAUUUCCGCCGAUCAGUUGGAAGUGGGUCAAAUUUGAACUGCAGCUGCCUCAUAGUUUGCUAUUUAUUUUUUCAAGAAAUCAUUUCUAGUUACAUAAGUACCUGUUUAAUCAUAAAUACAUGGUUUGGUGGCGAUACGUCCAGGUUUGGGCGGUGGCCAAGGGCCCCAACUCUAGAGCGCGUAAACUCGCAUGGCCGCCACGUGGUCACCGCGUGGUUGUGGCGUUGCAAUGUGUUCUGGGCGGCAUAGGCAUGUCUAGUGGGUUGGGCACUCCCCAGGUAGGUGCUAGGAAGAAAAUUACAACAUAAGAUUCUCACGAGGAGACCGAUCGAUGCUCAAACAUGAAUUAGCAGCCAAGUGUUUGAUUAGUGGUACAGGAAAUGUAAAUGGCUAAUGGGCGUGAGUUUUGGCUGAGGAUGAUCAGUUACUAAGAAGACCGUCUUCACAAAUUUUCAGCUCAAAAGGAGGAGCCUAGGUGGUACUUGCUUUGCAAAGUACCACAUUGGACAUAAAUACGAAUGUUGAAGCUGGGCUCAAAAUAAUGAAUGGAUUGAGCUGGCAUUUGGUGGAGGAUGGUUAUUUGGGCAUAGGAAAGCACUGUAGAAAAUGGAUACUAUUUGGACAUGCCAAAGUGGUACUUCCUUCACAAAGUGCUGCUCUGAACAUAAUAGGAAAAUUAAUAUUGUUGAAUUAUUUUUGAACUAGGAAAGGAAGGUUUUUGACAUAUUUGAUGAAGAUAUGAUCCAAACAAUUUAUGAGAAUUUUUUGGGAAUUUUUGGAAUAACAAAAAUAUAAGUUGCUUCACAACCUAGGGCAAAAAUUGACACAUGGACAUGACACAUAGGCAAAACUGAUGAGAUGGCGCCUAGUCAUCGCAACCCACCACAAUUUACAAGGCUAUGACCAUCUAUAUUGGCCGUUAACAACUAGAAAUAAGGCAGCGGACUAGCACUGUUUGCUUUAUGACCAUUUCGUGUAAGGAAAUUACGACCUUUCUGACCAAAAUGGUCACAAUGUUUAGGGUUUGGAGCCCCCCGAACAACUUUUUACCAAUUGGUCUCAAAUGGUCAUAGAUUUAUGACCAAUUCUUUCAGGGUCACUGACAGAAGGUCACUAGUUGACAUAUUUCUUGUAGUGUACGAGCCCUACCCCUCGGUUUAUAUAGAUACCGGGAGGGGGGGGGGGGGUCUAGGGUUAUAUCCUAGUUGGCUAUGUACAAAGAGAAUGGGUUGUAGAUGAUUUCUAACAUCUUGGAGUGCACGGUUGGUCUUCCGGAAUCUUCCUUUCAUGCGCCAUGGGCCACUUCAACAUGGCCCACUAGUUAACCAACAUGGGGGUCCUCGGCCUGUCCCACCAGGCCGGGAGACAACAUGGUAAGAGGCCCCCGUCAGAGAGACCAUCAAAUGCCCCGGCAGAAAAAACCAUCGAUUCAGCAGUACCAGUUUGACGUCAAGGAAGUGUACAUGAUCUACGAGAUGCAUAACUCUAAGAAUCAACGGAAGCGCGUGCUCCGCGAAGUGCGCACCAUACAGACCGCACAACCACACCAUUGGCCGGGUUGCAAAAUUCCGAUCACAUUUGAUCUUUGAGAUAACCGAUUAAUUCUAUUUUUAUGCUUAUCAGACCGUUGUUGACACCAGAUUAUCUUUGAAUUUCUAAGAAAGUCACUCCGAUAAUGCCACUAAUGACUAUAGAAUGCGAGGGAUCGUGAAAUCCUCUCUUUAUUUUGUUUCUAGAGAAAAAUGAGGCCAUACAUGGAGAAAAUGAAUCAUUUUGAAGGAAAGAAACCAUGGCACAGCCGGACAGACACCUGAAUUUCUCUAUUUUCGUGUUUUUCUGUCGGGUUUUUUUGCUUUUUAUUUCAUUAUUUUUUUAAUUUCCUUUUACUUUUAUUUUUUAUUUUUCUUUCUUUUUGCACAGUUUCUUUUUCAUUUUGUGAACAUCUUUUUCAAAUUUGUGAACAUUUUAAUCAUAAUCAUUUUUCUAGUUUGCAAACAUUUUUAUGAACUUGUGAACAUUUUUAAAUUCAUGGAUACUUUUUGAAACUCAUAAACAUUUGAAUCAACAAAUAUUUUUGAAAUUUGGGAACAUGUUUGGAAAUGGAUGAACAUUUUGUUGUUUGACGGACAUUUUUUGUAUUGCAUGAAUAUUUUUUAAUGUCUUGAACACCUUUUGAAUUAAUGAACUUUAUUUUGUGAUUCAUGACUAUUUUUUGAUUGAUGUGAACUUUUAAAAAAAAGUCAUGAACAUUUUUUGAGUUCGUGAACAUUUGUUCAAAUUGACAAACAUUUUAUCAUUUCUUGAACAUAUUUGAAAAUUCAAGAUGCUUUUGGAGAAAAUUCCUUAUAUAACACCGUUUUAAAUUUUGAUUCCCUAUUUGACACUGGAAAACUUUUUCUUCCCUAUAUAACACUGCGCCUAAAUUUUAUGCCCUUCACGACACUUCCGUCCAUUUUAAGCCUUAAAGAUGUUAAAUGACACCUAAAAAGACCUAUUUACCCCUCAUGUGGCAUGUGAUCAAAAUUUUAGGUUUAUGUGUGUAUGCGGCCGACUCGUUUUGUGUACGUCACGGACAAGCACCGAGGAGAAUUAGUACGGCUGAACGCUGCCGCCACGCGUACUGGUGCUGCUCGCACCUCUUGGCCUCCGAUGCGGCUGGCCGCAAAGCUUCUUGUGCUCUGAACUGAUGGCAGCUGAUACGAACGAUGCAUAGAGAUAGUCCCUUCGCUCGGACACUGCCUUCCUCCUCCUACAUGCAGCACUCCUGCUCUACCUUUGUUGUCGUUAAUAAGCCCUGUUCAAGAAUUCGUCCAACUAAUCAGUUAACUUGCCAAUUAAUCCCUAUUCAUAGGAUCAUCGAGUAGCCGAUAAACGGAUAAAUCGUUCGAUUAAUUGAUUAAAUGACUGAUUAAGUUGCCGAUUAACCUAUUAAUCCUCAACUCGCCAGCCAACCAAGCAGCUACCAAUUAACGAGUUCCUCAACAAUAUUAAUAAGUUUCUACUCCACCAAGCACGUGCUCCUCCGCCCCCAUUAAACCCUUUAACAGUCGCUACAAGGGCGAGUAACCGCGAUGUCCACGUCCCUUUUUUUACUGUGCCAGUGAUGAAAAAAAAACAUGAGACGGGUACGUAAUCGAAAGCACUUGGCAAGACCUAGCCCCGGGUCUCCGCACGACCCCAUCUCUCGACGAUACCGCCGCCGCCGCUUCCUCUCCUUUCCUCUCCCUCGAUUCUUCUGGCGCCGCCACCCUCGUUCUGCCUCUGCAUCUGCUCCGACCCCUCCUUUUCCCCGAGCUGCCGGCCUCCUCCUCUGCGUCUCUCCUCGCCGGUCGUCGCUCCAAGUCGCAGAUCUCAUCGCCGCGGUUGUAGUGGCCGGACAAGACGAAGAGAAGCUGCAGCGGCCGGCUGCAGUGUGGCCUCGCCGGAGGAGAGCGCCGAUCGCCGUGGACGACACAGAGCCCUCUUCGGCGGCGCUGUUCGGCAGCCGCCGCGGCGGCGACGAGGGGGCGGCGCCGGCGGCGCCGGUGGAGGAGCUGGUAGAGAGCGCGGACGGGUUCGCGGGCGUGUUCCCGGAUCACAAGCAUGAGAUAGUGCGGCUCCUGCAGGCGAACGGCCGCGUGUGCGGGACGAUGGGCGACGGCGUGAACGACGCGCCGGCGCUGAAGAAGGCCGACAUUGGCAUCGCGGUGUCGGACGCGACGGACGCCGCCCGGGCCGCCACCGACAUCGUGCUGACGGAGCCCGGCCUCGGCGUCAUCGUCUGCGCCGUCCUCACCAGCUGCGCCAUCUUCCAGCGCAUGAAGAACUACACGGUGAGUCUGGGUCCUCGACGCCAUUGCCAACGCUACAAAUAUUCAGUUCAGUUACUGGGAUUUGCUUGUGAUGAUUUCUACUACCUUGCCGGUGCAGAUUUACGCCGUGUGCAUCACCAUACGGAUAGUUGUAAGAAUGCAGCAGCAAAUCAAUUUAACCUGGUAGUAGAAAUUCCAGUGAUCUUCUUUCCUCUCUGACUCGAAUGGAUGCAUGUUGGGUUUGUUCUUCUGGUGUCGAUAUGGGAGUACGACUUUCCGCCAUUCAUGGUGCUCAUCAUAGCCAUACUCAACGAUGGUAAUUAAUGUAGUAGCACCUCUGAACUUUGGUGCCAAGUUUCAGACCAUACUGAAACACAUAGCCUGACCGAAAUGCUUUGAUCAGGGACGAUCAUGGCGAUAUCCAAGGACAGGGUGACGCCGUCGCGGAGCCCGGACAGUUGGAAGCUGAACGAGAUAUUCGCCACUGGGGUCGUCAUCGGCGCCUACCUCGCGCUGGCCACGGUGCUCUUCUACUGGGCAGUCACCAGAACCACAUUCUUUGAGGUUAGCACAUCCAAGGCUGAACCGAUGAACAUCUCUGUUGAUCUGUACUUCGGGAGAAAGAGAGAAAUUUUGCUUUCAGACUGAGAGACACACACAUUGUUAUUUCAGCCAAUCAUUUAUAUAUGUAUUAUUGGUGGAUUGCACCGUGAAUAAAAACCUGAUGGUCAUGUUCGACAUCAAUCAAGAAUUUAAUUGAAGGCAGGGUACGCACAUUGAUGGAAAUGGAUGCCUUUUUUCAUUUUCUUUCAGCUGUAACAUAUUUCCAUCCGAUGGAUUUGGUUUUACUUCACUUGCACAUAAAGCCAGUAAUUUGUUUUCAGAGAGAUACCCAGCGAGUCAAUUUUACCUGUGACUACACAAGGGCUCUGUUCUGUUCUACUACUCCCUCCAUACCAAAAUAUAAGACGUGAAAUACAGUUUUAAUUCAACUGUAAAAAUGUCUUAUAUUUUGGUAUAGAGGUAGUACUAUGUCUCAGUUUUAUCAGGAAAGGGCUCUGUACUGUUCUAAUAUGUUUCAGUUUUAGCUAGCAGCAUAGACUCUGUGUAGUGUGAAUUACAUGCAUGGCACGGAGCAGAUUUCCCAUUAACAUCAUCCGGGCCUCCCAUCUCCUCGACAACGAGAUCCGCGUCCUCAAGGCAAGCCGCGCCCUCCCAAACCUAGACCCCCCCUCGCUCCGCCGGAGGCGAGCAGGGAGUCUCAUGGGACUUGUUCCCUUUGUUAGGGUUUGGGCUUAGGUCUCAUUGAUUGGCAUUUCUGUUUCACCCCUCGCUGACGACGGCGCACAGGACAAGCUGCAGCGAACGAACCUGGAGACCCUCGAGGACUUGUGCACCAUGAAGAUAGCAGCUCCAAGGUGGCUUCAGUUCUGGGCAUGAACCAGUAUGGUGGUGUUUGGGACACUGUUGGUAAAACACUUAGGUAAUAGUAUUGAGCCCCAAGAACUCUCUGUUUCCCUAAGAACUAAGGACACACUCACACGUCUCUAUCUUUUCUUAACCAAGUAAUUUCCUAUUUCAAUUUUCGCUAUCCCUAUCAAUCCUGGGAUGAAAGGUAGCAUUAAAACAUAAUGAGCAGCAGCAGCAUUCCCAGGAAAGCAUAUAAUUUUCUUUUGGUAAAAUAAAUCCCUUGUCGCUUUUAUUUUCCAAAUUGUUUGAUGUUUUACAUUUCUCCUUCCAUCAUUUGCUUGCUCGCUGCAGCUGAUGGCAUCAGAAGCAAUAUAUGGGGAUGGCAUCGUCGAAUUUGGAAUCAGAGGGGGGCUCCGUUAUUUCCAGUUAUCUUAUGUUAUUCACUAUGAGAGAGGAGAUUCAGGAUUUUUUUUCAAAACUAUGUUAUUUUUUGUAGCAAUUUCGGAAACUAUAGAACAUAAUGCAAAAAAAAACCAAAACUAAUAGCCCGUCAGCCAUUCUUUGGCUGAAGUAGUACUUUUCGGCCACAACUAGGCCGAAAUAGUACUUUUCGGCCACAGCUAGGCCGAAGUAGUACUUUUCGGCCACACUUAGACCGAAAUAGACUUUUUGGUCAAGUCUAGGCCGAAAAGUCACUUUUUGGUCAACCCUAGGCCGAAGUUGCAUGGCUCAUGCUGAAUUGUAUUUUGUCGCCACCCGUUUCCCGCCCACCCCUUCCCGCCACCCGUUUCCCGCCAACCCCUUCCCGCCAUAUGUUUCCGCCACCCGUUUCUCGCCAACCCCUCCCCGCCAAUCCCUUCCCGCCUUAUUUUCCUGCCAAUCCGUUCUCGCCUUAUUUUCCCGCCAAUCCCUUCCCGCCUUAUUUGCCCGCCAAUCCCUUCCCACCAACCCUUUCCCGCCAUACCGCAGAUAUUCUUUCCCGCCAUUUUCUCCUCUGUAUCUAUAAAACCCCCUUCAGGCGGAGGUGGAUAAGCAUUCCAGUGUAGUGUAGUCGAGAUGUCCCAUUAUCCAUUCGAUCGUAGUUUUCACCCUGAGAUGAGCAGCACUCUACUGAGUCUAGCUACCGAUUUCAGGAUGGACAAUAGGAUAGUUCCAUGGGACGAACUCACCGGUAGUGACACCAUAAUGAAUGAGUUGGCUCACCAACUACGUAGGUCUGGGUGGCCUGAAAGGACCUAUGAGGAGGUACGUCAAGAACUUCUUAGGUUGCAUGAAAAGUGGAAGAAGGUGGUGGAGCCGAAGAGUGAAACUUUCAGAAGGACUGCAGAAAAGCAUCCAUUUUUAUGGACUGAGGAGAGCGAGGACGACGAUGAUAUCUUCAUGCCGCCGCGUUCGGGUUCUGCAUCGUCGAAGGCAAGAGUUCUGCAUCGUCCAAAGGAAAGAGUUAUGCAUCCGCGAAGGGCAAGAGUUCUGUAUCGACGAAGGGCAAGAGUUCUGCAUCGACGAAGGGCAAGAGGAGCGCAUCGUCGAAGGGCAAGAGGGCUGCAUCAACGGAGGAUGACGAUGAUGACUUCAUGUAGUAUGUAAGAUGUAUUCCAGCUGUACCGUUUCAUUCAGAUGUAUUUGCAUUAUUAGUUUGUAUUGUAUUAUUGUAGGGCAUUAUGUUCUAUCUGAAUUUCAUUUUGUAGUAUGUAAGAUGUAUUGCACAAGUUCAGCCGCACCGUUUAAUUCAGAUGUACUUGUAUCUUAAUUAUGGGUUGUAGUCUAUUUGGAAAUGUAACUGAAAUAAGAAUGCGAAUUAAUAGUAAUAUGUGUCUCGCAUACAUAAAACAAUAUAUGUCUCCUGAUCACAUAGAAGCAAGUGCGAUCGUAACACAGACAUGAAGCAUGUCUCAUACAUAAAUACUGACACACAGCUGCGAAUAGUCUGAAACUAACAUAGAUAAUGAGUCAUACAUAGAUAGAUAAGCAUAUCACUGCGGGGGACGACGACGAGUCUGGGUCUUCCUCGGGCGAGGACCCGAAGGCGAUAAGCGCUGAGGCGGUGGACGAGGCUCGCGAUAACCAUGACCAUAGUUAACCUCGUUUGUCACGGUCUGUGUCUCCUGCAUCGGUGGUGGUGGUGGAGUGUGAAACACUGUCUGCGAGAAGCCAUAAAUGUUUGUAGCUUGGUCAUCAUCCUCGCGGUCGCCCUCAAAGUACGAAGCACCACCACUAAUGAUCGGUGACUGCUCUGAAUGCAUGAACGGUUGCGACUGGUUGCCGCCUGCGGUAAAGUAAAAUUGAUACAAAUGCAUGAACGAAGCACCACCAGUAAGCAUCAGUGACUGCUGAGAAUGCAAGAACGAUUACUACACUGUUCAAAAGAAUGUAGUGAGUAGUGUUACCUAGAUUCAUCUGCUGAUGCCAGUAAUCGCUCCCUGGCUGUGAAGGAGGUGGCUCAUGCCAGGAAGAGCUCCCUGGCUGUGAAGGAGGUGGCUCAUGCCAGGAAGAUCUCCCUGGCUGUGAAGGAUGAGGUUCUGCACGGUGCACAGAGGGUCGUGGUUCUGAACGGUGCACAGAGGGUCGUGGUUCUGAAUGUUGUACAGAGGGACGUGGCAGACGAUGUGCUGGAGGAGGAAGUGCAACAUCCGAAGUCCGUCUACACGUAACAGCUGCGUAAAUCCCGCGUAGCUUGUCAUCAAGACGCCUCAACCAUGAGACGCCCUCUCGCGGUGGGAUAGUUUCUCCCCUCUGAAAGCGGCGCAUUAAAGCGGAAACCUCCUCUCGCGCCUGUAGUGUCAAGUCACCCUGUACACAAAGAAUGAACCAAUUAUAUGCUCGUUGUAUGAUAGACACCACAAAUAGACAACCAAGCGAAUAUGUCCAGAUUAACAAAAGACUUAACAUAUGAGAACCAAGGCAUUUACCGCGUGGUGUCUGGUUCCCACAACAGAGGCAGUUGGGUACAUAUCGCUGGUGAGAGGGGCUUCGAUCUGAUCAGUAGCAGCUGAUGGAACCAAGUAGAUCCUCGUUGUAUGCCGGUAACGCUGCAGAUACAACCCGAACAUUUCCUAGUUAAAGGGCCGAACCUCACCCCAGAUAUUUGUCGCAGCGGUAGUCCAUUCGUCAACGUAAGGGGUAAUGCUCUCUCGCCAAUAAGCCAUGGACUUGUUUCCUCCUAGGCGACUGUCCCUCAUCAGAUUGACAUGCGCGAUACAUGAUUAGGUAUAUUAUGAAUGCAGAGCUGCCAACUAAAAUAGUAUUAGUACUUACUUGUGCACGUGGUCUGGCAAGUGUGGAAUAUCUGGAAUCACAGGCUGUUGAUAUAGACCGAACUGUCUCAUCACCCUAUGAAGAAACAUCUCCUCAACCGUCACGUCGAACACCAACUUGGCCUUGGUCAUCCAAAAGUGCCGAUCUCUAGUGCACAAUCCAGAAAUCCCAACUGGAUACCUCGAUGAUAUAGCCUGAGGCGAGUAUGGCUCCCAAAUAACUUGAUCCUCGUGCAAACUAUCAAACUGCGCCAUGAAGGACGGGUAGCAUCCCCUAACCUGAGUAUGCGCAAACUGUCUCUGUGCAUGACAACAAAUAAGCAUUAGUAAUACUAUUGAAUGGCAAGAAAUAAUUGAAUUAAUUGUUACUUAAUAUAAAAGUACCUCUCUCCGUGUCCAACAGAUCCCAUAGUAGGUAAGUCGCUGAUAGCAGGCACAUAAGUCCCAGCUAAGUCCUCCAAACCAAAAGGUUUAUCAAUGUAGACAUAGGGUCGUCCAAUAGGGAACCUCUCGUAUGACCAAAGCUGCAACAAUAAUGGACAUCCAACAAGACUAGAUUUUCUAGACUUCAACAAGCAAGCUUUGCACAGGCCUCUGUACGUAGCCGCUAACACAACAGAACCAAAACUCCUCUGUAGAAUAUCCGCAGGGCAACGUGCGUCAGCUAUCUCUCGUGCAAUACCGAUGAGUCGUGCAUCGACAGUGGUCACGUGGUUCUCCGUAAACAUUGUCUUGCCGAAUAGCCAAAGAAUAUAUGCCUCUAGGAACCGGUCAAUCUGAGACUCCGACAACUGAACGUCGGGAUGUCCUAACGAGACAAUCUACAUAGAAACGUAAUAAUUGUAAACAACAUUUGUUUAAGUGGCCGUGAUGGUUACCUGAAACUGGCUCAACCAUCUAAAAAGAGGUCCAUGAGGAUCGUUGUCUAUAGCCCUAGCAGUCGGGACUGCAGCCAAAAAACGGGUCUGCAUCGCUGCUUGCCACCCAGAUUCUGCCUCUAAGGGACCUAUGGCAGCACCGGCCAGAGGUAAUCCCAACAAGUAAGACACAUCCUGUAAAGUAGGCGCCAUCUCUCCCCAAGGAAAGUGAAACGUAUGUGUUUCUGGUCUCCAUCUAUCUACUAAGCAGGUAAGGAGUGACUUGUCGUAAGAGAAACGUCUCACUUGCCUCUUGUGUAACUGCAAUGGUUCACCUGCCUCAUCUAAGUCCGGACCAUCAAUCCACUCAUCCAAUGUACCCUCAACCAGCCGUGCCAAGGGUAGAAGUCCAGCCCAACUUAACCUAUAAAAUAAAGAGAUUGUUAGCGGUUAUGAAAAGUAUGUCAAACAUAGUAAGUCAUUAUAUGGUCUCCAUUAUAUGCACACAUACCUAUCAACCCAUGAAUCGUGUAUCAGCCAGUUAGUCUUUGGGGUACGAGUGACCAACACGUCUAAGUUGUUGCCCGCUUCCGUAAAAGCGCCCCGGUGCUUUCUAUCGAUGUUACCAUUAAGCAACGGAUACGAAGACAUAUCUGCAAUUCAAACAACAAAUCUCAGGUGCAAAUAAAACAUAGUAUGACAUAUUACAAAUUAUAACAUAGUCCUGACAUAUUACAAAUUAAAACAUAGUCCUGACAUAUUACAUAUUAAAACAUAGUCCUCACAUAUUACAAAUUAAAACAUAGUCCUGACAUAUUACAUAUUAAAACAUAGUCUUGACAUAUUACAAAUUAAAACAUAGUCCUCACAUAUUACAAAUUAAAACAUAGUCCUGACAUAUUACAUAUUAAAACCCACUACGACACAUUAUAUAGCUUAUGAGUUAUUUCUUCCUCGUCCGCCCCUUCGGCCUCGACUGCCACGACCACGUCCGCCUCUUGCUCCUGUUGUCGCAAUCGUCGAUGUGGAAGCACUCGUCGAUGCGGAAGCACCAUCUUUGUUCAGGUCGGGACAAUAUUUCAUCCUAUGCCCAUAAGCCACGCAUAACAAACAUUGUCUGGUUGCUCCACCAGCUUCAGACUGGUCCAUAUCGUUCCGGAUGCGUCGGGCCUUUCGUCUGCCCCUACUUGUUCGCCGAAGGUUUGGAUGCGGGAUGUAUACUCUCUCACCGUUGUUUACCUUGUUGAAAUUGCCGACGACUCUAAACCCUGUCAUCUCGCCUGUCCAGGUGUUGAGCACUGCCUCUUUUAAAUAGUAUGGGGACACGAAGGAUAUAGCAUCCAACUGAAUCUGGCCACAGGCAGCCAACACAUGAGAGCAAGGUAGGUGCAGCAACUUCGGUUUGUUGCAUGUACACUCACACGUUGGAUAAAAUUCCGUUCCAAUUUUUACCUCGUGUGUCUUCACCUCAUUUCCAGAACCAAAACCAUCGGUAGGAAGCUGAACCUCAUACCUCCUUUCUUGAUUCCCUAUGAGUCUGACACUGUGCUUCUUUGCUUUCUCUAUCUUCUUUGCCAUGUAUUCCAUGACACGGCUACAAUAAGGUGUGUUCUGAUUAUCUUCAAUAUGCUUCUUUGCUAACUCGUGCCUUUCUCUGAAAUAUCUCAAAGUGCCAUGGAAUACAGCCUCCACAAUAGCUGUGAGUGGCAAUGCUCUAUUCCCUCUCAGCACAAAGUUAUACACCUCUGCAAGAUUGGUUGUCAUGUGGCCAUACCUAGCUCCAUGUGUGUCAUGCAGCAAAGACCAAUUCAUUAGAGGCUCUUUCUCUAUCCACUCAAAAAAAUUCUUUAUUGCCCUUCCCUUCUUUCUCUUAGUAUUAGGAGGGUCAAUUGCUGGCAAGUCACAAAGACCAACUGGCUCCUCUAGCUCCGCGACGAGUGCUGCUAAUUUAACCUGAUCUUCUUCCAUUUUCUUCCUUGCACGGACCUUCUUCUUAGUAAACUCAUCUAGUUUUGACCAAAUAAAUUCGUAUUUCCGCUGCUGGCUCUGCUUGCAUAAUUUUUUGAACAAGUUCAUCAACCGCUUGUUCUUGAACUGUGAGAAAAAAUUAGCCCCAAGAUGGCGCAUGCACCACCGGCUCUGCAAGUCCCUCCAAGGUGUUGGUUCGUCAUCUGCUGGAUUACGAAGUGUCUUCACGGCCUUCAAUAUACCAACAUGUCUGUCAUGAAUGACACACACGUUUGGUCGGUCCUUCACGAUGGCAAUUUUCACUUGGCGGAAGAACCAUACCCAGCUGAGAAAGUUCUCACCCUCCACAAAUGCCAUGGCAAGUGGGAUGAUUUGAUUGUUCCCGUCCACACCAAUAGCAGUCAGGAUUUGCCCUCUAUACUGACCGGUCAGGAAUGUACCAUCCACAAAUAUAACAGGAGGACAAUGCCGGAAAGCUUCGAUGCACAUAGCAAAAGAGAAGAACACUCGUUUCAACAUCUUGAAAUCUGGUAUACUCAGCAACCUCAUGUGUUGUACGUUCACAUAAGUGCCGGGAUUCCUCUCCUUCAGUAUGCCCAGGAGACGCACAACAUUAUCAUAUGAGUCGAAGAACGUCCCAAACCUUUCCUCCAUAGCCUUCUGCUUAGCCCUCCAAGCCUUCCCAUAAGGAAUGACAUAAUUCCAUCUGACCUUCACUGCUGUCUGGAUGUGUUUUGCUUCCAUAUCUUUCUUCUCUACUAUCUCAGUAUACGUGAGUUGCGCAAUGAGACUUGAAGUCAGGUUCGGAUGCUUCACCAGCAGGUUCUUCCUCACACAAUUAUGUGGGACGACAAUGGUGACAACCCAGUGGAUGUCAUACUUCGGCACGUGCCCGUGCACCUUCCCAGGACAACUUGUUUCAACACAUUUCAUGGUAUAGUUUGUUGGACUUGAUAUGUGUGUCCGGAAAACCCUCUGUGUAGACAUAGCCCACUUUAUCACCGCAUACUUCAAUUUUUUCUUUGUAUCAAACAUAGCCCCUAUCUGUACUUGGUUCAGAUUAUACUGCCAUGGAGUCUCAUGGCCAUCUCACCGUAAGGCCGGUGGAUAUGUCCUGCUCCCAUGCAGAAGGAAUCGGUACCUCCAGUUCGUCCUCAGAAUUUUCAGAAUCCAGUUCCUCCACCAAUCCAUCCUCGUCCUCUUCCUCCAUCACCCUCUGGAUUUCAUCCCCUUCCUCAUCCCCAUCAGCAAAACCAGAACCAGCUAAUAUUAUCGACUGGCUACUCUGCCCAGUAUCAGGACCACAAACAUUGUGUGGCACGUAGUCUGACUCUUUCUCGGGUUGGCUAGCAUCCACAUCUUGUGGCUGUGACCCGGAUAAAACAAUCUCGUUAGCCACUUCACUGCCUUGGCCGGGUUCAUACCCCCUGUGGAGUUGUACGGCAUUCUCCUCCUUCGGUACAGGUUGCACAAGUGCAUAUGGGUGGAUUCUUCGGUCUCGGCAGCGUCUUAACAGGGACAACCAAUGUUGGCUCCUAUCUACUGGCAUCAACUCCCACUUGACAUUUUACAAGAUUUGGUCCACAAUGCGUGAAUACUGACGGAACAUACUUCAGGAUCCAGCCCGAAACUAGUUGUCAACCAGUACUUCAAUUGUCUAAUGUCCAGUCUGUCCGGGUCUGCUAGUGUCAUGACGCCAUUUUUAAACUCGCUAAGAUCAACUCCCAACUCAUUAUAUCGAACGUUACCAGCGCCGUAGUAAACAUUCAAAUUUACUGAUUCAGACAUUUUCACCUGUCAGACAUUGUCAUCUUCUCAUUAAUCACAACGAACACUAAUAUUACCCGCUACACUAACUACGCGCUAAAAUGCCACCACAAACAUAUUAAAUCUAACUAAUAAACUAUACAAUUUAGAGAAAAUUUGUGACGCCAUGGUUAUACCUUCGAAGUGUGCGUCUCUUCCGGUCACCGGCACCGGCCACCGGACAACGGCAGUGCCGCCCACUCGACGGCCGGAGGUUUAACUCCGGUCACCCCACAAGCUGCUGCUCCUCCUCACCACCUCCUCCUCCACAGCUGCUGCUCCUCCUCACCACCACCUCCUUCCCAACCGGACCUCCUCCACCCCACCAUGGCUCCUCCCCCAAGCGCACAAAAAACUAACCCAUAACAGAAAAAAACCAUAGGCCGGUGGAGAAUGCUAUGAUCUAUCUAUUCUGUGCCUUGGUUGUGUAAAUGAGUGCAAAUUGGAGGAGAUCUGGGAGGAGACGCGAGCUCUACAGAGAAGAACGAGAAAGAACAGAGGCGACCGAGCAAGAGGAGGAAGGCGACGACGGGAUCGGCCUUAUCCAGACCUUUUCGGUCUAGGCCUGGCCGAAAAGGUUUUCGGCUGCGGGCUGGCCGAAAAUGGCCCAUUUUGGUUUAGGCCUGGCCGAAGCUACUAUUUUCGGCCCACCCGACCCCUCUUCGGCCCAACUGAGGCUCAUUUCGGCCUAAUGCUGGACAAAAAGUCCUUUUCGGCCUAGUUCCGGCCGAAAACUACCACUUCGGCCACCACAAGGCCGACAGGGUCAUAUUUUUGAUAUUUUGGCAAUGGGUACUAUAGUUUCAGAAUUAGCUAUAAAAAGGUCAUAGUUUUGAAAAAAAAUCGAGAUUCAGGACCAUGGUCCACCCGCUCUUUAAUUCAUUUCUUCCUGGAUGGUGGAGAUUGGGGCUUAAUGCUUUGAAUUUUUUAAGUGCAUAUCUAAGUAAGUUACGAGGUGCCUGAUGGUGUUGAAGUGUGCGCUAAGCUUUGUUCAGCUAAUGAAAAUCCAAAUUAUGGAGGAUGUGAUGGUAGAGGUAGCGAAGAACACGGCAAUAAUAUUUCCAGUUAUCUCAUUAAAAACAUGCAGGUCAUUCAUGCACUAAACUUCUCUUUUCUUCAUGCUUGGCCACAAUAAUAUUAGCCCAUACUGACUUAUAAUUGCAAAUGCUUUGUGUAUGAAUGAGCAGAAUCUGCAUUGCAUUCUAUUGUGGGAGAACAAAAAGGAACUGGAGACAAAAUUGGAAGACAACAGGUCUCUGAUUUUUUUAUUUGUACCAAAUAUUAAUAAUUUGAGAUGUGUAAAUGUUAUGUCUUGGUUUACACGCCAGUUGCAUGUUGAUAUAUACAGCGUUCUUUAUUUUAUACAUUUGAUUUCUCUUGUCAUUUCAAAUUUUCUAUACCGAGUCCACCAUCUUCCCAGAGUCAGUGAAAACUUACAGAGCUUUGAUAAUUUUCUGUGCCAAUUUUAUUUUAGAAUUAUACUUCCUUUCAUGUUUGAUUUUUGAUGCUUAAUUAGCAUCUACUGCUCAUGAUUUGGACCUAAUCGCUCUGUUGUUUACCAUCUCCUUCAUAUAUACGCGCAUCGCUCUCCUCGCCUGUUUGUCCUUCCGCCUCAGUGCAACCACUACUAUGCUCUGCUUAUAGGCUACAAUGGAGGUAAUCGUCCCUCCAUUAAGCCAAAGUGUUCUUUUCUUUUCUGGAUGUGUUGCUGCCAUGCUUACUACUCGUGUAUGUUGUAUGUUAGCAAGUGGUUGUUAUGUGAGUACCAAAUUUCUGGUUGUUCAUCGAUCGCUGGUCUCGUUCGUGUUUCUGCGCUCCUCGCCCAUCAUCACCAUCAAGGUACGUUUCAUUGUGUAUUUAUGUGUAUGCAUGGGUGUUUGUGUGUUGUUCUUGGAUUCCUACCUAUAUCGGUUCAUUCACACUCAUCAGGUGUUUUUAUGUCUCCUUCAUAUGAUGACUUAGAUUUUUGUUUCUUUUCUCAGAAAUUGCACCGGAAAUUGAAUCAAAUAGUAAAGCUGCCAAAUUGUCCUAAUAAGAAUUUAAACACUGAAACCUUCUAAUAUUCUGAAAUUGUGCUUUCUCUUUCCUCUUAUUUUUUGAAAGUAAUUAGCUGGACGUUUUAUACCAUGAAUUCUGUAGUACAAUCAGAGCUAUCUUUAUCACAUUGUAAUGACACAAGGUCAUCAAUUUAACUGGUUGAGCCUGUGUGAUUUUGUAUGUUGAAGAACUACUCCCGCAGUUCCCAAUCUCGUGAUCGUCCCGUUCCAGCCAACUGCUAUAAUGAAGUAGUUAAGAACAUGCAUUGAGUAAGAGCGAUCUGUUUUGAUACUUUGUGAGCAAUAAUGCCUGAUCUUCUAUUGCAGUUGUUGGGAUAGUAAUGCCUGCAAGUAUGGGAUUUGAUAUCUAUGGAUUAUCGCAAUUAUUCGACGUGCUGGCGUCUUGCUUAUUUGGUAAGGUAAUUGAUAUGUUUCCUCCCUUUGCUGUGCUAGGAAUUCAUUUAAGUAUUUUGUGGUAUAGUUAAAUGCUUAAACUGAGUGGAAGUUUUUGAUGGUAUGAUUCCUUUCAGAACAUAAGGUCUGAACAAAUGGAAUGACAACCAAUCUUAUUACUGGGAACUUCGGAAGGAUGGAUUUCACGGUGAAACGAUGGACAUGAGCACCCCUGUUAUAACAGGAAGGCACAUUCUAUAUGACUUCCUCAGGAGCCAUUCUUUUGAUUUGUCUCUAUUUGCUUGAUAAGCAUUCGAUGUGCUUACGAGUUAGUAGCACAUAUUAAAUUUAAUUUUAAUUCAUGUGUCAUCACCUGCAGUCAACCGAUGAAAAUAAGUGGAAGAUGUAUUUGUGAUGCCAUCAAAACAUGGUCCAGACUUGCCUCGGGAAAAGACCCAUCUGUGACCAUGUAGGAGGUGCCCAGCAAAAUUGUAGCAGUGACGGCCUUUCCAGGUCCAUCUGUUAACCUUUGAUGUUUCGACAUCGACUUCCUCAGCGAGUUGCUUGGGUGCUAAGCAUCUCUUUGAAUAUCAGUACAAACGUGUGGAAUUUUUUAGACUGAUGUUAUAAGUUGCUUUACCUCUGUCUAUGGUUCUUCACUUGAUUGAAACCAAGUCUUAUGAAGUAUAUUUAUUAAGUAUUGCCUUAUUUGCUGUUUUUGGAUUUGUCACCUGAAUAAUGUGAGUUGAUAGACAUGUGUUAUAGUUUCCUCUGCCAAACCUGAGGAUGAGUUACCAUUUCCUACUAAUAGCAUUGCUUUUUUCCUCAUGCAGAGUAGCUUUUAGAGUGGUCAAAGAGACUGAAAGUUUCCCACUGCUAUUAUUUGGCUCUUCUUUGAAGGGGGGCGAUACAACCUGAAGCUUUCAUGUUAUUCCUCUAGCUUUUACUCUAGAUGGUACUACAAAUGGAUCCCAUAGAGGUGAGGGUGAGCCAUGUCAAUUAUUUACUGACUAACUCUGUUUUUCCAAUUGAAUUGGGUCUCAUGAAGAAUCUGCACACAUUGGAUCAAUUUGAUCGCCAAUCAUUGGACAACAGAUUGACAAAUGCUUUCCGUGGCAGGAACCAUUGGCAUAAAACUCAAAUAAGGUAUCUUAUCCUAAUUGUUUGGCUAUAUGUGUCAGCAAAUGAAAUUCAGGGAACUAGGCCAACAAAAUGGAGUUUCAACAGGGUAAUUUAACUCUACCAUUGAUUACCUUGACAAUUCAAUGGUGCUGUUUUUUGGUAUGCCGAGUGCUGUAAAGCUGAAUUAUCGAUGCCAUUUUUCUAUCUCUUAGAGGUGCACUCAGCUUCUCAGUUUGUUUCUGUUCCUUCCCAUGGUACAGGAAGCAUGAUUUAUGUGGGCAGAUUAUCGAUGCCAUUUUCCGAUCUCUUAGACAUGAUUCAUGCUUCCUCGCUAAUCUGUUUUUUUCUACAGUUAAUUAAUUCUGAAUAGGUUUAGUUGAAACUUAAACUUGCUAGAGCUUCAACGAUGUCAUUGAUCCCUUUUUACAUAUAUCAUAAAUAUUACUAUUAAGUUUGAUGGUUACUAAAUGAUGGGUUACAUAUCUACACCAGGGUCAUGGGUUUGUAAGAUUUAGGAGCAAUCGGGGAAGAUGCAGAUAAUGCAAGAGAGUGGCACUUCAGUUUAUUUAGGUUGUUCAGGUAUGUUCUCGACUACAGAAAAAUGUAGUAUUGGUUUUGAGGCAGAUUCUCUUGCUUAGGGGUUUCCUGCCCGAGUUAGGCUUGUUGUUUGUUUCAAAAAUUCAAUGUAAGGUCUAAAUUUCACCAAUAAUUUUGUUGUUGUUGACCACAGUGUGGGCAACCGUUUUGAUUGCAGCCGAAUUUUCCAAUGGCUGCCAAUUUUUUAGCCAACCUUUGUGAUUCUGUACUAGCACACGACAGGCGACAGUUUUCUUCACCAAAAUUCUUGCACGCCAUCGUUUUUGUAGGGCUGGCCUGGGUUCAAUCCAAACAGCCCCUAAACCCCGCCUAUAUUGUUAUAUAACUGAAAUUUCUUUUCCCAAACAAACUAUGACAUUUACGGCUGUUGCAAGCGAUACUUGCUUCUCACCUACAUUGAAUUGAAUGCGGGAGCACCUGGUGGCAUCCAGUACUUUGGUGAGCUUGAAGACCACUGUUACUGGGUAAUGACGUGAAGCUCUCUGAACGCCACGUAGACGCUCUCUUUGCUAUGUUCUGGCACAAAGAGCCAGACAUCAAGUACUACGUGUGCACAAUCAACAAAACAUUUGACAUCAAGUACUAUGUGUGCACAAUCAACAAAACAUUUGACAUCAAGUACUAUGUGUGCACAAUCAACAAAACAUUUACCAAGCCAGGCCAGCGCAUGGUAACCUCAAAAACACUCUUAUCUUCCAUAUCACACAACAAUCUGUGUCCAUGUAAAUCACUUUUUCUUGUAUCAGUAUUUUCAGGUACACUACUAAAGAGAACCUGCUGGACUACAUUGAUCCAAACAAUGAUACACUCAUGGUCAGACUUGCAAAUGGCCGUCUGUGCACCGAAUGUCGCGUUAUGGUAGGAACUGACAAGAGGGCCACUAUAACCACCAACUGGUCUGAGUUUCGUCGCCGUGCCAACAUUCGCGAAGGAGACAUCUGCGCUUUUCGUUUCAGGGUCACUUCAAAGUACCGCCUGGUUCUCACCGUCCACCUCCUCUAAUGCACCAUUGAAUACACCGCAAAUCUUGUGUCACUAUAAUCUAGCACUAAGUACUCCUAAUUAUGCCCUAUCCCGUGAUGAACCUAUAAUUUACUUUUCGACCCUGCUAUCCAAUGCUUAUGAAGAUGUCAAACAUAUGCCUUUGUUUAUGUAAACUGCACUGUUCUCAGUCAGAUUAUUCAUGUUAAGGUCCAUAAUGGGGCUUCUAUGCAUAUAUGUAUUUAUUUCUGCUGUUAUUCUCUGCUUGAAAUCUCAAAUUCUUAAAUAACACAAUCUCACACAUGCUAAUCAAAACAUAAAAGUGUGUUAAAGGGUCGACCACUAGCUGGCACCGCCAAGCUCCCUCUCAAGAGGCGCGCCACGGGCGCGCCCCAACACCUAGUUCACUUCAAUCGUUGUGGCUGGGCGGAGCACGAGAAGCUUGUUGUACCACAAAGAUGCGACCACACGGGAACACAAAUCUCAAACAUUUCCAUCAUGCCGAGCACAUGAAGACAAUAUGAAUAAGGGGAAUGGAUUCAGUUUCGCUUGAUCCAGUGGCAAACGGGCUCUAGCGAGCGAAUUUGCCACUCGUGUGCAUCGUUCGACGAGGUCGGUGCUAAACAAAUUGAAGGUUAUUAGAUUCAUCGUUCGAAGAGUUUAGUUAUAUCAUGUUUGACGAGUGUAGUAAUAUGUGAGUGUGUUAAUAAAUAAUUAAAGCUAAGCAUUAAUAUUUUUGAUAAAGUUUGUGAGUCCUUAUGCAUGAAAGUGGUGGCCGCUGGCAUUAGCGAUGAAGCUAGAGUAUAAUUUAUUUUGAUUGAAUAAACCUUUGUGUGUUCUGACCGGGGGCGCACGAUGCUUAACUCCUCCCAAGCUCCUCCUCAGGAGCAUGCGAGUUAUGCUUUGCUUCGAGGGCUAAUAAAAGUUUUGCAAUAAAUACGUUUUCUUUUCGACUUGUUCAAUGUGAGCUUUUGGUCUACAAGCACUUCUAGAUAUCCAUAUUUUGCUAGCCUCUUCGGCACCGUGCAUUGCCCACUCUCACCUCGAGACAUGGUGCAAACUUCGCCGGUGCAUGAUCCCGUGAGAUGAUACAUACUGUGACACAUAAGCCUCCUGACAUCUUUUCUCAAAACAACCAACAUACCUAUCUAUCAUGGCAUUUCCAUAGCCAUUUUAAGAUAUAUUGCCAUGCAACUUUCAUUGUUAAUAUUUACAUGACUUGAGCAUUCAUCGUCAUAUUUUUUUGCAUGAUCGUAUAGAGCUGACAUAAUUUUUGUGGCAAAGCCACCAUUCAUCAUUAUAAUACAUGUUAAGCUAGAUCAUUGCACAUCCUGGUACACUGCCAGAGGAAUUCAUUUUCAGUCAUUAUAUUGUUCAUAUCUUUGAGUUGUAAGUAAAUAAAGUGUGAUGCAUCAUUAGCGUGCACCCCUACAUGUGAGGAUAAAGAAAAGAAAAAAGAGAGGGCAAAAUGUGCACACCAAAAAAAAAUAAAAAAAAA
rnacentral:lncRNA from 1 species